rnacentral:lncRNA from 1 species
UUGCUUGAAGUGUUUUUUUGUUUGUUUCUGUGUAUAUAAUAUAUACAUGCAAUUUUAUCACACAAAAUUAUAUGAUUAUAUUAAUUAAUAGACUAAUCAAACCAAAUACAAAUAAUAAUAGUUAGUUUAAUUAUAAUUUUAAUUUAGUUAAUGAUUUUACUUUCAUGGUUAAUAAAUAUUAUGGAUUAAUUGAUUUGGCUAUAUCAAAUUAAUCAAAUUGACAAUCCUAAGUUGGAUUCAGUUACUUAACCAAUCCCGACAGUGCACUAUUUCGGUUUCAACCAUUAACCGGAACCCUUUGCCCACCAAUUAUUAAAAACUUCAACUGACAACUACAGUACAAAAGAUAAAUGGCCGGAGAGUACCCACCAAUCGAUCAAACACGCCACCAACAGUCACCGUCCGGCGGCCACAACACUAACCCAGAGACGCAUUACAACAUUAACACAAUAAGAUCACCAUUUUGAAACAAACCCAGAAACAUAAAAAGACAGAUCUAGAACUCCGACCGACCCACGUCGCCACCGAUCUUAAUCAGCACUUCCUGGUGCAGAAACAGCGGCGGCGGAAGCCCUGGCAGUCGCCGCCGGAGAAGUGUUCAAGCCGGCAGACCUGAGCACAGUUGUGGUCCCUCAUACAAGGACCUUUAAACCCAUGGCUCUGAGAUGCGCACACUCUUCCUUCCGCCACCAUCACUCCAGCUCCUCCAAGAUCCCCUGCAUUUUUAGCAUUCCCACCAUUUAAAAAAACCCUCAAGAGAAAAUACAGAACAAUGUUAAAACCAGAGCAUACUGUAAAAAGGGCAAAAAAAGCUCGCUGCUUUUUUGAAUGUGUGUAAGUGUAACUGACCGGAAGGGGUGAGGAUGAGCAGCGCGACGAGGACGGCGAGAAAUGGGAAGCUCUUAUUCAUAUCCAUUGAUCUGGAAAGUGAUAAAGCUCGCUGCUUUUUGGAUGACUGUUAGCUGUAGCUCUGGUUUUUCCUUUUAGUGUUGAUUUCUCUUGGUGUUGUGGGUUCUGAAGGGUGGGUAUUUAUAGCGGAGUUCGGAACAAUUAUUCUGAGUUUAAUAAUGUAUGUUGGAAUUUCGAUAUAUUGGGUUUCCAAUGGGCGAGAUCAGAGCAAUGUUGUACGUGAAAAAUGAGUGGGAUGACACUCUGUUACUGUACCGUCCAAGCACGUGAACUUAUCAAGAAAAUCGUGCAGGACUUGGGAGCAAUAACACUAACCCUAAGUGACUCGUGAAAUGUUAUGUUUGAUUCUUGUCGGAAAAAAAUAGAGGCUUAGAAGUCUUUUAUCCCACUUUAGUUUCUGUUUGAGCUAACCGGUGUUUUUGAGUUGGGAGAGGAAGAAACAAGGUUAAUAGUGCGGAUGGUUAUGGGUGGCGAACUCUCGAGAAGAGUAGUUUGAGCUGUUGGGCGUUUUCGAGUUUAAAAAUCGUUGUUAAACGAAGUAGUAACAAUCCGUUUAACAGAAGUUUGACGAACCGAUGCCGCAGCCGUUGAUAAAUGAUUAUAAAGCUUGCAUGCAUGGCGAUAGGAGAGUUGGGGAAUUAUUUAAGAAAUUCCAGUUAUUUGUAUGUUAUGACUAACCUGAAAUAGAUAGGAAAGAAUAAAACAAAAAAUUGAUGUAAUUUUCGAUUUUGAGAUUAAUUAAUUUAUGUAUAUAUAUAUAUAUUCUAUUUGUAUUUUCGUAACAGAAUCAUCUCCGCUAAUGAGGUUAAGUUAUGUUACUAUUAUUGUUUCUCACAGAGUACUUGAAUGAGCAAAAACUUGUAACUGGAGAUGGUAGAACAUCUAAGUUUACAGUUUGUAAAUUGUAUGAAGUUGGUAGAUUAUAAUAUUUCGAGAGAAAGAAUCGUAUUUGAAAUGUAAUGGUAAACAUUAUAUAUUGAAAAUUAAAUCAUAAGUUUGUUGAUUAAACCUUAUAAUCAUAAGUCUUUUUAUGAGUAAUUUGNNNNNNNNNNNNNNNNNNNNNNNNNNNNNNNNNNNNNNNNNNNNNNNNNNNNNNNNNNNNNNNNNNNNNNNNNNNNNNNNNNNNNNNNNNNNNNNNNNNNNNNNNNNNNNNNNNNNNNNNNNNNNNNAAGCCCUGGCAGUCGCCGCCGGAGAACCCUUCGAGCUUGCAGACGGAAACGCAGUUGCUGUCUCGGGAGCAUGGACCCUUGAAACCGUGGCUCUUCGACGCGCACGUUCUCCCCUCUGCCACCAUCACUCCGGCUCCCAGCUCGCCAUCCCCUGCAUGCACGUUCACGGUAAUUAACUGGUCAGUGAGUAUCACAGUACAAAAUUACAAAGAAACAGAGUGUAGAUACAGAGGUAGAGUUAUAGUUAUGAAUAAUAAUGAUCAGUGUAUACUGACGGGAAGGGGUGAGGAUGAGCAGCACGACCAUGAGCAUGGCUACGAAGGAAAAGCUCUUCUUCAUCUCCAUUACUGGACUUUUUUUGUUGACGUGGUGGUGGGUUUUUGUUGUGGGUUCCCAAGUGACAAGGGUCGGUAUUUAUAGUGGAGUUUCUACGUUUCCAAUGUGGUGAACAUAUUCACUGUUGAUUCAUUAAUGGUGGUGGUUUUUACGUACAAAGGAAAUAUCACCUAAUCAUUCUGGUCAAAUGUCGAUAUGUGACUUUAGAGUACUAUAGAAAGGUAUAAAUGAUAUUAGGCAGACGCAUGGCUAAAUAGAAUGGUAACUCACUCUACAUACAUUACACAACGCAACACACCUUAAGAGGGGCUAAUGCCGCUAAUCCAAUGGCGAACAUGGGUGAGUCAGCUUAGACCACCGCUCAUGGUGCAGUGAUUGAAGAUCGAUAAAAUUUUAUGUAAAAUACUUCUCAUAGUUAAAGUUUAAUUUAAAUUUUUAUGAGAGUUAUUUAAACUUGAAAUCCCACUUAUAGUGUCUAAACCGCCACUGUUAAUGAAUCGUAUAUAUACUUUUUUAUUUUUCAAUCUAUCGUUUCUUUCUUAAUAGCUUAGCCAUUUUGUUCCAUCACAUACUCUUCUAACUACCCUUCAAUAUACACGUACACCCAAGACCAAUAGAUGACCAAACCUAACUAGGCCAUUUUUUAAGGUUGUCGAUUCUAAUAUCUGACGAAAAUUUAUAUGAAAGUUUCAAAAUCGAAAUUUCACCAAAUAUUCUUUCAAACUCACUCAAAAUUUGGCACAUAAUCUCCGACAAUCUAACCGCUUUUGCCUAAAGACCAUUCUAAGCAAGCCAAACACAUAGACGGAUUACUAACCGAUUAUUUAUAUCAACUCAAUAGUAUGGAGAGCUAGUUAAACAAUAAAAUUAUUUUAUUAAUUUAUAUCGGAUUAGACUUAGAAUUAUGAUUAUGGGUUAACUUAAACGUUUCACUAUAUAAGAGACGUUAGCGUCCUUUUUUAUAAUUAAGCCGUUAUUUUCAACAAAAUUUUUUAAUAAAAUUCCAUCUUUUUUUCGUAAAUUAAUCGACGUCAGAAUAAAAAAACCACAUUAAUCAUCGAUAUUAUUUUAAAAAUUUAUUUUUCUUUUAUCCGCACUUUUAUCGUACUUCAAAUUUCCAAUAGAUACAUUUAGUUUCUACUAUCAUAUAUAGACGAUCGUCUACCGGAGUACGUAGCCACCCCGGAAGCAAAGGUAGAGAGAGAGCCGGCGUUGAAUAUUUUGAGGAUUUGGGAAGCUGAAAAGAGGGGGUCGGUGGGGAAUUGGCUAGUCGGUGCAAACGGACAAAGGGAAAUGAAAGUAAGGCUGAUGAAAUCAGAGCAGUACUGUCAGUAAAUGAUAAUAGUCCAAAAUUUCGUCACGUGAACCCAUUUCCGUAAAUAACUUAUACUGACUCAUCAUCUACCAGCAAAGGGCCACGUCUGAGUAGUGCUCUGCUGACGCAUAAUUGCACUCACAGCCAUCCAUUUCCCAUGCACCUGUCGUCCCCCCUGCAUUUUUAUCCGCAUCACUAUCUAACCUCACAACUGUGUUAGUCAAAACUCACAUCUUGGAGCAGAAAUAUUUUCGAAAUAGUAUUCAAACCAAUACUAUUUCGUAAAAGAUAACAUAAAUUAUUAUUAAAUAAAUAUNNNNNNNNNNNNNNNNNNNNNNNNNNNNNNNNNNNNNNNNNNNNNNNNNNNNNNNNNNNNNNNNNNNNNNNNNNNNNNNNNNNNNNNNNNAUUAAAUUUUAUUUUGAGUUUAAUGAGACUUUAUUUUGAGUUCACAUAUUACUCUUUAUGGAUUUUGUGAUAUUUUCCAUUCUUCAAUUACAUAUCUUAAAUUAUAUCACAUUUUCAUUUUACUUAUACAUUUUCUAUAAUAAAUAAAAAAUUUAUUUAUCUAAAUGUAUUUUUCAUAUUCGUAAACAGACCAUGCAUAGUAACUUUUUCGAAUUUAGUUCUCACCAGCCUCUACGACGUCGUUUCUGGUGGGUUGAUUCAUUUUAUGACUUUUUGGAAAGCUAGCGAGCUAGCUAACAGAUUCAUGAAUGUCUCUUACCGACAGAGCCAAAAGAAGAAAUCUACAGAGAAACUGGAAUCGAAUCGAACCAAAUCUACAUAUUCGAAAAUAAAGUAUGAGUGGACUGAGUGGGUGGGUGGACCCAGAAGGAGCGUAUGAGUACUGUUACGAGAGGGAAACACACUGAUUAGAUAUCACUGUGUAGAUGGUCAGCCAUGUUGGAAGUUGAUCUACGGACUAUGAAUCACGUGAUCUGAAACUCUCGUAAAAUGAUAAACCUCUCUAUGGCAUCAUCAGCCGGGCAAACCAAACGGUUUGCGAGUAAUUUGGUGUUCGGUCUAGAAAAAAUUUAUUUGUUAUUCGAUUGUAUUUGAAACGAGUUAGCGCAUGUUCAACGCAAUUUGAUAGGCUCGAUAGCCAACUCAGAUACUCACUCGAUAGUAUAACUCGUCAACAGACUCAAUACCUUAUACAACAAAAUAUAUUAGAAACUUAUGUAAAUUUCAAAAUAGCUUUUUUUUUAACUUGACUUUGGUAUUUUAGUGUACAAUAUUGAAAUUCAACUUAAAUGGAACUCUCUUCAUAAGUUUUAUUGAGCGAAGUUCGAGUUCAGUUUAAGUUAACUCGUUAAUGGUAGUUUUAACGAGCCAUGCUCGAAUAAGCUCGAACGUGACACAAGUUAAAUUUAUCUAACUCAAACGUGAUUAAAAUUUAACAAGUCAAACUUGAACAUAGUAAAAUUCGACUAGAUUCGUAAACCGCCCUAAUCAUCAUUCAUCAGGCUUGGCUGAGGCGAAUUUCAUUGAUAGAGUAAAUGUGAAGAUGGACCAAACAAACUAGCCCACGAAAAAGCAAGACACCGAGCCUAAUUAUCUCAUGACAGGGCACAAACGAAGCCCAAACGGACAAUCUCUACUAAGGCCCAGCUGGCCCAGUUUAUAUACCAAGCAAGGAUGGCCUACUAGUGUACAAAGUUAGGCAAGGAUGAUUGGAUAGUGCCAAAAAGAAGUUGCCUUUAGUGAAAGGUGCAUCAUGCAUGAAUGAUUGGAUGGGUAAUUACAAGUGAAAGUUGAGUGGGUAAUCUCUCUAUCUAUCUUUGCCCUAAGGGAGAGGAUGUGUUCAAUUGGAGGAAACUUCUCAUACAAGUAUCGAAAUGUGUUCAUUUCGACCAAUUCUUCCGUAUAAAGAGUUUGUUUUUACUAUUACGCUGAUGAUUUAAUCGGAACACUCAUCAAUGAAACCAAUCGAGGUUUAAACCAAUCACUAAUAUGACUUCCAAAUUGAGAUAUUAACCCAAUUUGACCAUAUUUUAAUUUUUUUAUUCGACCGAUUCGAUCUGGUUAUAUAUGAUAGAUGAGAACACAAAUGGGUCAAAACUUGAACGUUAGAAUCCGCAACUUGGGCGGUGAAUAAUAUAUACGAAGAAAGAAGCGACAACCUUAAGUUUUUCCAUCGGGAUUCGCAAAACCGCCAUGCGUUGGCCGUCCAUCCGCCGUUAACGUCGGUUUAACCGAAUCAGAUAACAAUAAAGCAAUGAACUCAGAUACUCGUAACACGUGCCACCCCUCCCCUCCCACAAUCCCCCACGUGCCACGUCCAUCCUCGUUCAACAACAUGGUUAGAUGAUAUUCUGGUUUGCUGUUCGGUUUGCGGUUCGAUAAAAACAUGGUUAGUGGUUCUUAACCAUUAAUCACAAAACUCCAAACUCCAAAUACGUAUAUUCAACGGUUUAUACUCAUUUUAAACGACAUGUUAAAACUUUAAUGAUUAAUUGAAUAUAAUGGGGAAUUGAUAAUUUGGAGAAACCAACUCUAAAUAUUACUCAUUUACCAUGAUAACUCCGGUCAAACCUCUUACGAUUCGACCCUCGGUCCGACCAGAUUGGUUAAAAUGUAAGAUACAAAUAAGAACUCACCAGUAAAUUAAUUGUAAUUUAAUUCAUCAAGUCUCUGUUAUCUCACUCUCCAGUUAUUUAUGCUCACUAAUGGCGAUUGAUUCAAUUCAAAACUAGCCCCACCACCACCAUCUAUCCAAUCAAUCCCUCCACUCCCCCCAUUCGUCUUCUUCAUCAUUAACCCAUCAAACCCUUUUCUUCUUCUUCUUCUCACUCUGCACUCUCUGUUCUUCUCAAUCGAAGCAACUGUAGCAUGUAUUGAUUUCCUCUUUUUGACUUAUAUAUAUACUCUGUAAAGACCAUCUCCAGCUCGAACAAGUGAAGAAAAAAGAAAUGGAGAAGUACGAGCUAGUGAAGGACUUGGGAGCUGGCAAUUUCGGCGUCGCAAGGCUACUCCGCCACAAAGAAACCAAAGAGCUCGUCGCCAUGAAAUACAUCGAGCGUGGUCUCAAGGUUUUAUUCCCAUCUCUUCCAUUUUUGAAUUCGGAUUGAAGGAUCCGCAGCUGGUUGAAUCUGAUUCUGCUUCGUGUUGAUCGACAAACAGAUAGAUGAGAAUGUUGCUAGGGAGAUUAUCAAUCAUAGAUCGCUUAGGCAUCCUAAUAUCAUCCGUUUCAAGGAGGUAUUUUUAUACUUUUUUGAAUUUAUUCGUUUUGAGUUGAAUCAUUGGUUAGUUUCUAAUGAAUUGGUUUUUUUCGGGUUGUUUCGGUUUGCAGGUGGUUCUGACUCCGACUCAUUUGGCAAUAGUGAUGGAGUAUGCUGCUGGUGGAGAGCUCUUUGAGCGGAUUUGCAAUGCUGGCAGAUUCAGUGAAGAUGAGGUCAGUCAUCCUAGCUGAAUCUUGCUAUGAGUAACAAUGGCGGAAUCAAAAGGGUCCCCUGAUUCACUAAUUUUUUUCUUGCAGGCUAGAUAUUUCUUUCAGCAGCUGAUCUCUGGUGUUGAUUUCUGCCACUUCAUGGUAAGAAAGUUCGUUUCUUUUGUUUGACUAACUCUCCUUCUGAGUAAAAACUGGAGUUUCAGUCAUCAUAUAACAGUUGGUUUUUGUUUCUACACCUUACAGCAAAUCUGCCACAGAGAUUUGAAGCUGGAGAACACACUUCUAGAUGGAAGUCCUGCACCUCGCUUGAAGAUCUGUGAUUUUGGCUAUUCCAAGGUUUGUUUAUAUACAUUUGAACUUCUAUGAUCUUCGGCAAGUUAUCUUCUUUGUUUUUGCCGAUGAUUAUCUCUUUUGGUAUACAGUCAUCUCUGCUGCAUUCAAGGCCGAAAUCAACUGUAGGAACCCCAGCUUACAUAGCACCAGAAGUUCUAUCUCGCAGAGAAUACGACGGGAAGGUAAAGGACAUAUUUUUUUUUUAUAUGAAUCGAUUUUUCACUAACCAACCUACCUACCCUAAUGGAUUUGAAGCCAUUAAACUAGGAGAAAGCUUUUAGGUAGUGUGAUGGAUGAUUCCAUUUGGUUCUUUGCUGUAUUCCAUUGAGUUGCUUUUGCUUGUAAUUGAGGUCUUUGUCAUUUUUUCAAUGGGGGGGUCCUCGGUACUUGUUCAUUUUCUUAGGAUGAGAUAAGUUAUUAGGUUUACUUGUGGACAAAUGCUUGAAUCAAGGAGAUACUAAGUUGACUGGCACUGUGGCACAUGCCAUUCCAGUUCUGCUUUAACUGUUCAACACUCAAUGAUAAUUGGGUUUAAGAGUGAAGAAAUCUUAUUUAAAAUUUUCGAAAUCGAAGUUUUUUUGGCCAGUGUGUUUUCGAGAUUCGCCUAGUGUGCUUUCAAAACUCAAACUUCACUUUCAAGUGAUCCUUUGAGUGAUGAUGUCUACUUCUUUUAGAUAGAAACCAGACGAAGUGUGAACAUCUUUGAUUACUCUCUUGGCUUUUUGGGGUAGUUACUUAAAAACUGGUUUAAGUAACUAGUUACAGUAAAGGUUUGUAAGCAAAAAGUUUGGUUUUUUACCUUAAAAGCUAGCAGCAGCUGAAGAAUAUUGAUUUCAGAUGAUUUCUUCACCUUAAUAGAUUCUGUCUAUGGAAUCUGACUGUGUAUGAUACACAUGUCUUUUUACUUUCUCUUCCAGUUGGCAGAUGUAUGGUCCUGUGGAGUUACUCUCUAUGUGAUGCUUGUUGGAGCAUACCCUUUUGAAGACCAGAACGACCCCAAGAAUUUCAGGAAAACGAUUCAGGUUCGAACAUCUCUACUACCCUCCACCCACUUUGAUCUUUCCCAACUUCAUGUCCUUUGUUCUUCGUGAUUAUACUUUGCUCUAUCUUCUGCAGAAAAUUAUGGCUGUUCAGUACAAGAUCCCAGAUUAUGUUCACAUAUCUCAGGAAUGCAGACACCUCCUUUCUCGGUUAUUCGUUGCGAAUCCACUCAAGGUACUUGCGCCACUUGGAGAUUAAUUUUGUUAAGAAUCAUAUGUAUAAUUUUACACUAAUAUCAGACGGAAUUGGUGUCAUUUUUGGUUUCAAAUUCCCUUGUUUGCAGAGGAUCUCCAUCAAGGAAAUCAAGAACCAUCCAUGGUUCCUGAAGAACUUGCCAAAGGAGCUUUCGGAGACGGCUCAAGCCAUGUACUACAAGAGAGGGGACACUGCACCGGGGUUCUGCGUUCAAAGCGUGGAGGAUGUGAUGAAGAUUGUGAGCGAGGCAAGGCAGAAGCCGACAUCGACCACCCCGGUGAAGGGGUUCGGGUGGGGUGGGGAGGAAGAUGGAGAGGAAGAAGAAGACAUUGAUGGAGAGGUAGUUGAAGAGGAAGAAGAAGAUGAUGAUGAAGAUGAGUAUGACAAAAGGGUUAAGGAAGUUCAUGCAAGUGGGGAGUUUCAUGUCAAGUAGUGAAAUAUGAAUUGUUGUAAACUUGUUUUUGUGUGUUUAGAUAAGUGUUUAGAUAUCAAGGGGUCGUUUGUAUGCGGGAAUUUGUCUAUUAUCCUUGCUUAUACUAAAAAGUGAACUAGUCUUGUAAUAGUUGAAUAUUCUUAAGUCUUGUAAUAGUUGAAUAUUCUUAAGUCUUGUUGUAACCAAACUCUUGAUUAUAAAUGUGUCUAUGAAUCUUAUUUUUCGUCCAAAUUGAAUCCCCAAUUGGUUCUUAAUCAAGUUGGUAUAAGUGGGCCAAAUGUUCAAGUUUAGGUCAAGUAACAGUUUGAUCAUAAGACUUCACUUAAAGUUUUAUGGCUAAAAUAGUAAUAUUUUGAUCACUCAACUUAUUUUUAAUGAGUAACAUCUUGGUCAUUCAACGUGUGUUUAACCUGUAACAUUUUGGUCACUCAACUUGGUCUUAAUAGGUAAUGUUUCGAUCACUGAACUUGUUUUUAAUUAAUCAAAUUUCAAGUUUGGGACAACAAAAUAACAUUUUAGUCACUUAAUUUUUUUUUAUAAAUAAUAUACUCAACUUAUUUUUAAUCAAUCAUUUACUCUAGUUUUGGUCAAGUAAUAGGUUGAUCACUCAACUUAUUUCAAUGUAUUAUUGACUCAAUUUUCAUAUUUGGGUAAAAAAGGUAGGAUUUUGGUCACUCAACUGUUUUUAAUAAGUAAGAUUUUGAUAUCUACACUUGUUUUUAGUGUAUCAUUGACUUAAAUUUCAAAAUUAAACUAACAAAAAUAACAUUUUGAUCACUCAACUUAUUUUUGUAUCCUUGACCCAAAUUUCAUGUUCGAAAAAAAGUAUUAUUCCAAUAUAGAUAGUGUUAAAAGUCCUAGUAGCAAAAUAACUAUUAGGACAUUGUUCAUCAAUACCAUCAUCACCCGACUAAAUCCAAUUUACAGUAAAUGCCCCCCAAAAUAUCCAGUACUUACAGUUUUAGUACAGUAGAAAAGGUUAUCUUACAAAAUAGUAUAUGAAUCCUUCUUAUAGCAGGAACAAAAAUUCAUAAUUUUGCCAUUAAAAUGUUUUAGUGGAACAAAGGCAAGACACCAAUCUGAUGCAGGAAACCUUCUCCAGUGGUGACUUCUAAGAACAAGAGAAGCAGAAAUGCCAACAUAGCUGCUCUCCCAUUCCAAGUCUCUGCACUUUUUGUCCAUCCCCAUUCCCAUACCAUCACCGGCGGUGGCAGCUCCCUCCGUUUUGAAUCGUAAGCUGCCAGCAGCUCCUCGACGCUGCCCAGGGGAACUAAAGACUGCAAGUGCAACAAGACAGGUGGACAUGGACCAGUUACAAUAUAGUAUUUGUGGCUUUGGAAAACAUGAAUGGUAUAGUUAUGCAUAGGGAUGAACAUUUCUCUGCAAUCUUUUCAUUACAAUUUGAUGAAAUGAAGUGAAUGAUAAUCAUCAUGGUUUGUGUUUGAUUGUGAUGGUAAAUAAUAAGGAAUGGGGUACCUGUCGAGCUUCGAGAUUAGAUACUGCCAUGGCUCCGACAUAAGGGAGGCUCUCUAUCACAGCAUCUGCCAGGUCUGAGAUGAAGGUUGGUUCACAUCCCAGUGCAGGAACACGUCCCCAGUUUUCUAUGCCGGACUCCAGAGCCAACUCCUUGUACUCAACGUCGAUCUCUUCCAGGGUUUCGAUGUGUUCACUAACGAAACUGAUUAUGUGAACAAGAAAAAGUUAGCUCAUUUAAGUUCAAGCAAAGGAAUCCAAAAUCAUUUUUAACAAAAUCAAGUAGGGAUUUCGACCUUAUAGGGACAGCGAGAAGACUUUUGACCCCUUUUCUCCCGAGAUCAAUUAUAGUCUCGUCAGUAUAAGGUUUCAGCCACUCCACAGGUCCAACUCUGCUCUGGAGUAACAUUAACACUAUCCAGUGACUCAACCAUACCAGAAAAGAUAAAGAACACAGAGCAUCUCAAAGAAGAACACAAGUGAGUAAUACAAGGGUCUUUUGAGUAACGAAAACUUUCUGUAUUUGCUAGAAAUUCAUGAAUCGAUAACGAAGACGAGUCAAAGAUGAGAAGGAAAAUAGAAUAUUAGUGUCUACCUGAUAGGCAAGAGUGUAUGAGUUAGCAAGCUUUCUCUUCUCUAAUUCAUCCAUAAUCAAGUCCACACAUUCCUCCAUUUCUGCCUUGUAUGGAUCACCAGCCUCUUCCACAUAUGCUAGUGGCACUCCAUGUGCACUGAAGAAUAUCACGACCUGGAAAAGGGAAUUCUGGAUUUCAUUGCUGCUGAAACAAUUCAUCAAUCAAACGUGAUCAUCAGUUAUUAAGUAUUGCCUUCCGAGGAUCGUCAAAUUUUAACAGUUCCUUCUCGAUUAAAUUGACCAUGGCUUUAAUGUAUCCUUCACGCUGGUACCAGGAUGGAAUCACUGUGUGCUGCAUGUUCACAAGGUACUCAUCUGACCUGGCAUCAGUUAGGAGGAGAAAAAAAUCUUAAGUUUCUACCAAUUUCAAUCAUAUAGUUUGACAUAAUCUAUGAUUAACCAUCACCGGAAUAUACUCUCCAAGAGUCGAAGGCUGGAGCCGCUAGUUGAUAUCGAAAACUGUGGAUACAAUGGAAGCACCACAAGUUUUGAAAUGCCGUCUCUCUUUAUCUGUAGAGUUUUCAACCAAAGUAGCAGUGUAAGUUUGACUCUGACAGGCUAACGAACUAAACGAUGAGCUAAACUACCUGUUCUAUUGCUUCUUCAGUGAACGGAUGCCAGUAACGCAUGCCAACAUAGACUUUAGAAGGAACAUCCUUCUCCCAAAGGGACUUUCUCAAUGCUUCUCCCUGAGUGAAGAUGAAUACUCAAUCAAGAAGCACAGAAAACUAUAAGAACCAAUGUGAAAAGAUUUCAGCUCAUGGUAAUGUCAUUAAGCAGGGCUGCUGAGGGAGAACAUGCCUGAGCAUCAGUUAUCUGUCGCAGAGGAGAACCGCCACCGAUUGAAGCGUAGCCUUCCUUGCUCUUGGGAGCUCUAACAACUGAUAUGAACUGAGCCAGAGGCUUUUGCAGAAAGCGAAACACCCUUGGAAGCCGUAUGAUAUCCUGAUACAUUACACAUCACAUAAGCUGGCUGAAAAUGUGCAUAUGACACAUCAGCGAGAACCAAGUUUACGCAGGAUACGGAUGCAUAGUCAUUAGGCAACUUACAGGGUCUGCAAAAAGGUUAAACAGGAAAGGCUGGACAUCGUCGAGAGUCUCAGGGCCUCCGAGAUUCAGCAACAGGACUCCAAUCUUCUCAUUGCCAAUUAGAGAUGCUACUGAGAUGUCUUGAGCUGUUGAGGUCACCAACGCUCUCAAUGGCCAUCUAGUACAUUUAUUAUCAAGUUGCUGUUGUAGUGAGCCGCUUAAAGAACACUUGGAGAUGACGUGGCUUUUAUUGGGGUAAGAAGUAAGGGAACUAUCAACGUGGAAAGCAGAUGAGCAUUGCAACCUCGGUGAUACAGAAACUGGCCGUGGUAAUAUCCUGUUAGGAACAACAACGGCCAUAAAUCAAUUAUCCAAUCCAAAUGAUGGUUGCCAUUCCUUCAAUGCCAACAGAACAUCAUCACGAAUAUUUAAUUUCUUAAUCCAGCUACUUGGAUUACAAAAAGGCAUUAGAUACUAUAGUUUAAGAACCUUAAUAAAGAAAAGGAUUCUCCUUUAUCCUAAUAUAAUAGUGGUUUAGUCAAAUAAGUCAACAAAUCCAUACUAAAAAAGCUUCAAAUACUCCAUGACUCCAUCAUCCAUUAAUAAAGGCAAAGAUCAGUACUUUCCAUCAGUAUUUGAAGUGCCCAUUUCAAUCCAGACCAUAAACAGUAAACACAAAGAAACUACCAGCAAACCCAACUCGUCAAUUGCAAGUAGCUCACUAACUAGAAGAAGACCAUAAACACAAAGUAAAAUGGAACAGAGCAGAGAGAUUCUCUUACAUGGGGGAUCUCGAGAUGUGUUGAGCUGUGUAAGAAGAGGAAGAAGCAGGAGACGGAGUUGAAACGGCGUAGGUUAGUCGAGAAUUCAUCGGAACCCACAGACGAAGAGGAAAUGUUUCAGCUCAGCAUUUACUGAUUCUUCUAUGGUUCUUCUCUGGUUUCCAGUUUUGUUGGAGAUAGAAAGUAAAGUAGCAGACUUUGGUAGCUAGGCGCAGUAAAAAAAACGACGAGGAAGAUGAAGAAGAUAUUUUUGUGGGGGUUUGGUAUAUUUGGGAGAAAUGGGAGAAGGGGAAAAGAGAGUGACUUAUCGCUAUUGCUUUGAAAUUAUAAUGGUGGAAAAAAGGAAAGCCACUUGUGUAUACAUCUCUCACUCUCUGCUGACGUGGAGUAGUCCAUUCGCUGUUUUGUCAGCUACCUAUACUGCAUUAAAUUUAAAUGUUGUUGGUUAUACUAAAAGGUCACUGAACACUUGCAUUUGAACCCAGAGGUCACUAAACUUUGAAAUAUCUGUCCAUUGAGUAACCUCCGCAAGGACUAGUGGAUGAAAAAUCUAAUUUGUAGAUGGGGGUAUUCGUCCAAAAUUAAAUUACUCGAAGAAUGUUAUGAAUACCUAUGUGUCUCUAACAAGGUAAAAAUAUAGUUAUCAUGGGUUAAGACGUCAAAUAAGGAUUAGUGGAUGGAAAAUCUAAUUUCUGUAAACAGGAUAUAAUUAUUCGUCUAAAAUUAAAUAAUUUGAGGGAUGUUUUAAAUACCUAUGAGUUUGUAACAAGGGAUGAUUUUUAAAGUAUAGUUAUGAUGGAUUAAGACGUCAAAGUUCAAUUACUCUAGUGUAAUCAAAACGAAUAAAUACUAACACAUUUUGUUUUCCGACCACAAUCUUUGCGUAAUUGUAGAAAUUAAAAUAUUGUUUCCAAAAGUCAUAAAAUGGCACAAAAUGAGACCAUCUCGUUAUUUGACCGUUAAAGUUAACAAUCAAAGUGAUCCAUCUAUCACCUAUGGAAUUGUUAGCAAUGAUGGUACAUUAUUCCAUGCAGGUUCCACAUUAGCAUACACAUUCACAUCAAUCAAUGCUCGAAUCCCGUUCUAAAUUUGUCCUCCGUAUCAUCUGCUGCCACAACCUCGUUGUCAGUCUCCUAAAUCAUGCAAGGAAGGCUAGUACCACCCCUACCGAGUCAUCGACUCCUCAGUCCCGAUCUCAUCUUUGAAAUGCCGCGACACUUUCUUCUGCUCAUCGACAUAUACGACAAGAAUCCUAACGAAAUGUGUAAAAAAACAUACACUUCUUAAGUGACCAUGUUGACACAAAGCCUAUUUUUACCCCCAUUUUAUCACCAAACAUGUGAAAGCGGACUUCCAAAUUUAACCAAAUGUGGUUUAAACCUUCAACUACACUUUUGUUUUCACGAUGCCCUUUUGAUUUCUUACCAUCCUCAAACUGAAUCAAGUGGAAACAUUGAUGUUCAUCUUAAGAAAACAGAUAUUCCACAACUGGGCCAUGCAAGAAAAGUUUGGUUUAAGGGUCAUCAACAGCCAGAGAGAACCCACAGCACAUGAAGAUUAUCAGUGUGCCUUUCCACUGGAGACAAUUAGAAGACAAUUUAGCAACUAGCUGACAACCCACCGGUAAAGGUUUUUGGAUAGUUUGAUACUUGGCUCGAGUGCCCGGUGCCUGUUAGUCCCCCGUCCUGAGAGAAGAAUCGAGGUUCGAUUCCACUUUGGUGGAAGAUUUCGAUCCCUCGUGGUUGAAUAAUGAUUCUCAUUCACUGGAAUAAUACUCCAAGUCAACCUCUCUCUAGGUUAGCCAUGUCUAGAGAGAAAAAUCGAGGUUUGGUUCCACUUUGGUGCGUGGAAGAUCUCGAUCCCUCAUGGUUGAAUAAAGAACGUCUGCCCAUGAGCUCUGUAUGGAUCCCGUUUGCUGUUUAUAACAUCCAUACUUUAAGCAACCCGCUCUCUAGGUUAGCCACGUGUAGAGAGAACUGAGGUUUGGUUCCGCUUCGGUGGAAGAUCUCAAACCCUUGUGGCAAACCCAGAGAGUGGUGGAAGAUCAACCGCUCUUAAGGGAAGCCACGUUUGGAGAGGAGAACAGUGGUUUGAUUCCACAUCGGUGUAAGAUCCCAAUAACUCAUGUGGUUGAAUAAAACAAGCACCGUGCCAUCCUCCCAUUCACGGGAAUAACACCUAUAUUCCGACUGCCAAGUCAACCGCUCUCCAGAUUAGCCACAUCUACAGAGAACCGAGAUUCAAUACCGCUUCGUUCGAAAUAAAAGAAUGCCCAACCCACAAGCCUGUGUCUUGGCAUCCUUUCACUGGGAAAAUAGACAAAAACAUCAAUCACUUUGAGAACAAGUCUUUUGGCUGGCAGACCAACAAACACACACACCAGGUAAAAUGGAAACAAAACACUCAAUUCCAGCUCCUAACUUCUACUAUCAAUUCCAGGAAGAAGACAGGCAGGCAAAGAAAGGAAAAAUGGAUCAUGUUUAUUGGUCCAGCAGAUUUCUCUCUUUCAAGUCUAACAACAGAAUCAACGGUAUGGGUUCAGACAUGGUUGUUCCUCUCAACCCACUCAAUCAAUAAUUCCACACAGACUUUUCUUCUUCUUAUCUCUCUCUUCUCCCAAUAAAUCUCAUUAGUCUGCUUCUUUCUUCCCCCCCCAAGAACAGAUCAUCAUCUUAGCACGAUGAAAUCAUUGUAUUUCACUGUUUUCUGUCUCCUGGCAACUGCUAUCUGUUUCUUUUGCAAUGAUUACACCUCUUCUUCCUCUACUCUCAUUCCCCUAUCAAAUAGGAGAUCUAUGAGGGAAUGGAACGUACCGGUAUCUACUAAAAGCCGCGAUGGACACGGCGAGGGCAAGGUUAGAGAUCAUCUUCUGUAUCAUCUACUGUAAAUCUUCCAGGGUUAGCCUGUACUUUUAUGCUUAGGGCUAGUUAUGAGUGUCUCUCAGCAUUCCUUUCCUCGAGUUCCUAAAACUACCAAUCAUUCUAACUAUACUUUCGCAAUUGCAGGUUCUCGAUGAAGAAAAACGAAAUAAUUGGAAGGAAGGAGCAGACCAAGUUCAGCAUGUGAAAAGUGAGGAUCAGGAAGAUGAGCUUAUUUACCACAUUGAUUACAAUGGUGUGAUGACUCAUCCAACUCCAACUCCAAAGGAUAGACCAUAGAUUGUUAUCUUAAGUUCCCAACCUGCAAGUCCAAAACUUUAUAUGUCAAUGAAUCAAAUCCCAGAUCAUGAAAAGAAGUUCAAGAAGAUUCUCCUUUUUUUGGCAGUUCUUUUAGUCUGUAGUUUACUUUAUGAAAGAUUCUUGUUCCUUUCUGUGUUAUUCAAUCAGCGGUUCAUGUAAUAUCGUUUCAUGGUCUUUUCAGAAAGUGAAUAUUCUAGUGUCAUGAGAUGAGGGAUCGAAUGUACCUUCUAAACCUUCAACAACCUGCUUUGAAUGACUGAUGGAAUUAAGUUCAUAGAGAUCCGAGUGUUAUCCAUCUGGCCAUGUGAGUUUUAAUGAUGCAAAGACAAUAAUCCAUUGGUGUAUUGACUUCUAACCUUCUUAUACUUCUCAAGUAGCAUUUUGUAGCUACCAAUUGCAUCCUCAAACAAGGCUUCGUUGCAGAACCUGGUUCUAUAUAACAAGAAUGUGGCUUCUAAUGCGUCCUUAUGUUCAGAAUAUAAACCCGACAGAUCCAAGAUUCCUGUAAAAUUUAUCCCACGGUGAAGUUCUUUCAUCGUUAUUUCCUCAAAGUCGAGAUUACGAAGCCACCUCAUCCUCUCAAAGACGUUCUCUCUUUUCUCCACCUCCUUCAGCACUUCCAGCAAGUUGGGCCCUGUGCUGAUUUUGUUAACCAACCCCUUAAAUGUGGUCUUCUGGUUUGAAUAGAGCCAAUCAUCGACGUCGCGUGGAGAAGUAAGGGUACCAACCAAGCAAGCCUUACGAAAAGUUGGAUCAGAAACACCAAGAACACUAAUCAGUGCAUGAAAUAAAGUCAUGGACGUUUCACCUAGAUUAAAAGUCAAUGGUUCAGAAAAACCCCGAUCGUACUGCUUCCAUCUCAGAUACCAAACACGAAGUGAAACAUGCAUAAACCCUUCCCACCUGCAUGUAAAUAGAUGCACAUCAUAAGUUAAUAAGCAAUGCAUGAGUAAUGUCUACAGAAAUAAGAGCUAACUUACUCGAAAGGAGGUUCCACCUCAAUACCAAAUGUGAGAUGUAAGGAAAAUUUGGUAACAACAUCAGCAAUAGCAUCGUCGGUACAAGCUUCAUGUGGAUAGCCUCUUGGAAUAUACAAUAAGUCGCCUUCGCUGAGCAAGAACUUCCUGCAUCCAUCCAGCGAGCACUCAGCAUUUGAACCAAGUUUUCCAUCAAGUUGGUCAUAUAGCCGCGGCAAUUGCAUCUUUGGAGGAUAGGUGGUCCAUUGUUUCGCACCCAAGAGUUGGCAUACAAAUACACAGUGGUCAUCAAAAUGGCAAGCCAGACCUUGAGAUUGAGGUGGGGUUAAGUACAGAUUGGCCCCUACAGAUGGUUGACCAAACAAAGAUGCUAAAGCCUCUGUAAUAGCUGCUAUGCAUUUAUAGCGGAAUUCCAUGCCGCGAAUAGCAACUGUAUAACCGUGCCGGUACGCUUCUUCACAUUUUUCUAUAUCAGAACUGCUGAGGAAACCGGGGGGCUUAGUGUAGUAAUCACUUGAGGUUCUGUUAAAAAAAUGCACCUCUGCUUUUGAGUUUGACUGGCUUUCUGUUCUUAGCACCCUCAAGUCUUGCUGGUAAACCAUCAGGCAGCCUAGCUCGUUUUUCACCUCCUCCAGAAAACUAUAUAUGUCUAACUCAUCUGAAUCAAUAGGUAAGCAAGAAACAAAACCGUGAAGCAUUGAUGAAAGAAAAUCAGGAAAUGAUUCUGUACAACCUAGAACUUCAGCAAAGGAGCCCAAUAUUUCAUCUUUCUCAGUCAAAGGGCUAGACUGGCUUCUGAUCCUUCCAGGGGAAUUCUCCCAUUGACUUGACAAGAAAACUUCAAAGCUAGAUUCAUCAGAACCAAACAUUCCCCUCUUUACAAAUGCAUAUGGCAAUGCCGCAAACUGUCUAGUAGUAAGAGAGAGCUUAAAAAUGCACUGAGCCAGACCAUUAACCCCAGGUAUUAAGCUUAAUCCAUGCAACACCUGAUUAUGCACCUCUGCCCAGAGAUUUCUCAAAUAAGCCAAAAAUAUUUGCACAUCCUUCGCACAAAUCUUCUCCAAAUCUUCAACAUCAGAUGCAUUGACUAGAGUUAUUACGGCAUGAAGAAGUGAGACAGCAUACUGAUCUUCUUUCAAAGCUAACUUGCUCUUUCUUCUUGCCCUACCUUUACUCAACAAUGACACCACCGACGUUGAUACAGGUAGCUGCAAGCAUUUAGAACUAAAAGGAAUGAAAAAAUCGUCAGAUCUUAAAGAAUCUCUAAUUUCACAAAAAAUGCACUGAAGUUCAUCUUCCUAUUUCCAUAAUUUUACAGUAACAUACGAAUAAACACCCAUCAAACUUUUCAAAGCAAAGUGACUAGUAGAACCAGCUUCAGCAAUGAAUUAUGGAUAGAAGGAAGCAACGUAAAAGGAAACACUCACAUAAGGCAAUUCAAGGCAGAGAACUCAAGCAGCCGUUGCCUUCCAGCAGAAGAAGUAGACAAAUCCAAGAUGGCAUUACAAGCAGCCAACGGAACUUUCGUCCUGGAACUUCGCGAGAGAACAUGGACUAGAGCCCUGACAACAACAUCAUCCAUUGCAAUUUCUUCAUUCGUUUCCAGAGAACAAAGGGAUGCUGCACCUAGAGUCUCCGCUGCGAGGCGAGCAAUGUCUCCAUACCUGGACAAUACAGGCAGAAUUCAUUUUAAUUCCAAACAAAGUAAUCGGAACAUAUAACGAUGGAAGAAUCGAGUGAGUUUGCGGUUUACUUGGAAACGAGGAGAAGCGGAAUCAAAGAGAGGAAGGUGGAAAUGGGAAGUUCCAGCUGCGGUGGAGACAGUGAGAUAAGAGAUGAACGGAGAUGGAUUAAGCAGCGGCGAAUCAAGGAUCGGUGGGAAUUUGUACUGCGUUCGUCGGCGAGUGCUGCUAGUAGCAGCGGAUAAACGGUGGAGUCAUCAAUCGCGAUGUCGUCGUGAAGGCGGAGCGGUGGCGAUGGUGAGCUAGAUUGUUUCGUGAUCUUCGUCCUUUUGCGGACUCUACUCUCCGCCAUUGUAGCUCCGUCGGUUUGUAACGUUUCUUCUCCGGCGUACUGGCUCUCCGGUCUCGCGUCCUCCCCAGUUUCUCUGUUUUGAAUCGGCAGGAGUUGUAAAUUACAAAUUUGAUCACCGACCUUUACCCCAAUAACAAUGCUGUCACUAUUUUGUAUAAGUAAGGUAGUGAGUUGUGAUCGGUUUGAGUUGCAUUGUUUUUGGUUAAAUUAAAUUGGUUUGAUGGGUUGGGUUAACUUAUUUAAUAUUCGAUUGGAUUUGCAGAGAUGGCAGACGUAGAUGAUGGUUGGUUUUCUCUUAAUAUUGAUGAGAUUAUUCUGUUAUGGAUAGUGAUAUUAUUUGCAACGAUAAUAAUACUUUCAUUUGGGGUUUCAGUUGUAAUUAGGGAUUGUGAUUGAUUACUUGUGCAAAGAUGAGGGUGUUGUUGAAAGUAUGAAACUUUACGUGGUUGAUUGGUGUUAAAAAAACUCUUUAUUCAUAUUGAUUCGAAGUCGGCAGGUGGACCUCUUAUUUAAUGUGAAGAAUAAAAACCUUCGCCACGUCGAUUUAGUUUUAAAGUUUAAGGAAUUACGUAAUCGUGAUUGAAGUAUAUGUUUUCUCCAUACAUAUACGUACUAUGAAGCUAAUUAUUAUACCUUAUUAAGUUAUUUAAUAUUGGCGAUGCAUGUCAAACUCAAGAAAAUGAUCCCAAUUAUCUAAUAUUGAUGUUGCGUGUCAAACUUAAGAGAAUUACCUAAAUUAAUAAGGUAAUAAUUUACUUCAUAGUAUAUCUGUAUGGAAAAUAAAUCUUCCAACCAUGAUUACGUAAUUCCUCAAAUUCCAACACCAAGUUGACGUGAUAGUGGUUCUUAUUGCUCGCAUUGUAUAGGAGGCACACGACCAACUUUCCAUUGUCUUAAAUACAAAGCUCCUCAACGCAAUCAAUCACGUAAAUUUCAUGCUUUUAACGACACUCAUCAUCUUCAUUAAGUAAUCAAUCACGAUCCCAAAUAUCAAAUAAUCAAUCGAUCCCAAAUUAUAACUGAACCCCCUACAUAAAUUACUACUAUCUCGAGAAUGAUACCACCAACUGCAACAUAAUAGUUAAACCAACCAUCAUCUCCAAUACCAUUUUUAUACAUCAGAUCAAAUAUUAAAUAACUCGCCUAAUCAAAAGUAUACUAUAUCCUCUUUUAGAAAUUAAAAUUACUAUAAAUCUAAUCAAAUAUUAAUAACUCGAUUCAUCAAAAUCCUAUUAUAUAAAUAUGAAUAUUAAAAUAUCCGACUCAUCAUCUUCUUCCUCGGCCAUUUCGGUCCCUACCGCCUCCACUCACCCAGUGUGGUGAAAAAUAUUUCAAACUCAAUGUCCAGUAGCGAAAAUUUCGGUGCACAAAAAACCGCGCCAAAGGAAAUUCGACAUAGCUUUCCCGCUCACUUUUCCAUCGCCCUCUCUAUUUUCCCGCGUAUCUCAGUCCCCCCAAACGCUUCAUUCUUAUCCAUUGCCUGUCUUCUCUUCUCCCGCUGCUUGUCUCACCAGAUCUGUCAGAGCGGAGAGACAGAUAGACAGGGAGAGGGAGGGAGACAUCUUUGAUUCUGCACCGGCAGCCGCUGAGCAGUUCGUGACAAAAGCUCUCGCCGACGAAGUGGGUUUUUGGGUUACUUAGUUGCAGAAUGGGCUCUGCGUCGAAGUUGAUCUCGACAGCGCCUGAUCCGGAAGCAGAGGAUCCGUCAUUGGCUGAAUCAGGUCCAGAUUCUUAUAUCGUCUGUUUUGCUCUCUUCUUUUAUGUUUGCAUGCAAGUCUUUUUGUCAGAUUCGUGGGAUUUUUCAUUGUUUUUAAUUGCUACGAUUUCGGUUUUCGUUUUUGUUGUUCAUUAGUGGUGUGAUGUUGUCUGGACUUGAUUGUUAGAGGCGAUGGUGGAAAGGUGGAAUUAUCUGGAUUGUUUAGCCGUUAUUAUUGUGUGCAGUUGGUUUAAGGUUCGUAGCAUUAGAUCGGUGAUGUGAUUUGAUUAGGGCACGCAUGCAUAGCCAAACAUGGACUGUAACUGAGCCUUUACUUUUCAAGGGAAGAACAAGAAGAAUCAAGACAAUAAGGCAAUUCCUUCAGAUUCCAAACCUAAAAAGGCAGCACCAAGCACUAAAGGAACGAAGAAGCGUGAAACUGCAAAAAACAAUGAACCUCGUGCUUCUCCACCGAAGCGGCCGAGAAGGGCUGCUGCAUGUGUGAAUCUGAAGGAGAAAUCCGUGAAGCUGACUGAUGAGUACACAGUUAUCGAACCGAAGAAGGAGCAAGUUGUUCAGGAGGAACUUCUCGCCGUUAGAUUGACCGAGGGACAAGGAGAGGACGGUCGUCCGAAUAGAAGACUGACUGAUUUCAUCGUCCAUGAUGCAGAUUUCGCUCCACAGUAUCUGGAGAUGAUUGAAGUUAGUGAUAUGUUUAUCUCUGGUGUCAUAUUACCGAUCGAUGAUUGUAUGGGGGAUGACAAAGAGAAGCGGGUGAGGUGUGAAGGGUCUCAAAGGAUAGAGCAAUGGGACAUUUCUGGAUAUGAAGAUGGCUCUCCGGUUGUGUGGCUGUCUACUAAUAUUGCCGAUUACCAUUGUGUCAAACCUGCAGGCGGCUACCGGAAGGUUUACGAUCGGUUUUUUGAGAAAGCUCGAGCUUGUAUAGAAGUGUACAAGAAGCUGUCGAAAUCUGCUGGUGGGAAUCCUGACCUCAGCCUUGAUGAGUUGCUUGCUGGGCUUGUUCGUUCUUUUGGCAGUAGCAAGUGCUUUUCUGGGGCAUCAUCUAUUAAAGAGUUUCUUAUCUCACAAGGUGAGUUCAUAUACGAUCAACUGAAAGGUUUAGAUGAGACAUCGAAGCAGAAUGAUAUGAAGUUCUCAGAGCUGCCUGUGCUUUUGGCUUUAAGAGAUAAGAGCAAGAAACAUGAGAGUUUCAUACUGGAAGGAGCAGUUGGCUAUGGUGGUAGUGGGACGUUGGUUAUUGAACCAAAUGCUGAUAAGAAAGACACAAAGAUGGAUGAAGUAAAUGGAUCUGCUGGUAAUGAUGAGGAUGAGGACGCAAAAUUAGCCCGGAUGCUGCAGCAGGAAGAAUUAUGGGCAUCCAUGAAGCAGAAGAAAAGAAAAGGCUCAUCCAUGUCGAAUGCUAUCUACAUUAAGGUCAAUGAAAGAGAUAUUGCGAAUGAUUAUCCUCUCCCUGCAUACUACAAGCAAACUGUUGAAGAAACUGAUGAGUAUAUAGCCGUUGACUGUGAUGAUGUGAUCAACCCUGAUGACCUACCAAGAAAAGUGCUUCAUAAUUGGUCACUUUAUGAUUCAGAUUUACGGUUCAUGUCCUUGGAGCUUCUCCCAAUGAGACCGUGUGAAGAUAUUGACAUCACCAUCUUUGGGUCUGGUUUGAUGACUGAAGAUGACGGGGCAGGAUUCUGCCUUGAAGACGAUCCUGAUCAAUCUUCUUCGGGUGCUUCAGGUUCGCCUGAUGAGACGGGAUUGCCAAUUUUUUUGAGUGCUAUAAAGGAAUGGAUGAUUGAGUUCGGGGCUUCCAUGGUUUUUGUAUCAAUUCGCACAGAUAUGGCCUGGUCAGUAUCUAUCUAGUCAUAGUGGUUAAUCGGUUAUUACUUGAUGCUACAGUCUUGCUUAGUGUUGUAUAUUGUUGUUACUUUCAGGUACAGACUUGGGAAGCCGUCAGCACAAUAUGCACCAUGGUUUAAGAUUGUUCUCAAGACAGCAAAACUCGGAAUUAGCAUUAUCUCAUUAUUAAAGGAGCAAAGUCGAGUAUCGAAACUUUCUUUUGCAGAAGUAGUUAAGAAAGUUUCGGAGUUCAAGAAGGAUAAUGAUGGCUAUAUUUCCUCUGACGUGGCCGUUGCUGAGAGAUUUGCUGUUGUGCAUGGGCAGAUACUAGUACAACUCUUUGCUGAAUUUCCUGAUGCUAAAAUCAAGAAAAGCGCAUUUGUUACUGGCCUUACAAACAAAAUGGAAGAGCGUAAACAUACAAAAUGGGUUGGUGGGAACAAGAAGCAACUGAUUUUGCAGAGGGGCCAAGCUAAUUUGAACCCUCAAGCUAACAUGGGACCUGUAGUUUCCAAGAGGAAGGCUAUGCAGGCUACGACAACAAGAUUGAUUAACAGAAUCUGGGGAGAAUACUAUUCAAAUUAUUCGCCGGAGGAUUUGCCAGAGGAAACAAAUGAGAAGGUAAAAGAGGAACAUGUCGUUGAGGAGCAGGAGGAAAAUGAGGAUGAUGCUGACGAGGAGAAAGAGGAGACAAUAGUUGUUACAGAGGAAGUGCAAAAACCAUCCCCUGCAUCAGUGAAAGUCCGAUCAUCAUGCAAGUCGAAUGUGGAAGCAAGAUGGGAAGGUAAUCCUGGAAAGGUAAUUCUUGGUAAAACUAUUUACAGUCGAGCUAUCAUCCAUGGAGAGACCAUUGAGGCUGGGAGUGCUGUCAUGGUUGAUGAAGAUGAUGAUGAUGACCUCCCUGCCAUCUACUUCAUAGAGUAUAUGUACGAAACGAAAAAUGGCGCCAAAAUGGCUCAUGGAAGAAUGAUGCAACGUGGUUCUGAGACUGUUCUUGGAAAUGCAUCCAACGAGAGAGAGGUCUUCUUAACAAACAACUGCUCAGAUUUCCAACUGCAGGAUGUUAAGCAGCUCGUUGUUGUCGAAAUCCGGAAAAUUCCGUGGGGUUAUAAUCAUAGGAAGGAUCAUUUGAAUGCUGGCAGACAGGAUAGAGCAAGGGCGGAAGAAAGGAAAAAUAAAGGAUUGCCUUUGGAGUAUUACUGUAAAAGUUUGUAUUGGCCGGAGAAGGGUGCUUUCUUCAGUCUUCCAUCUGAUGGCAUGGGUCUUGGUUCUGGUAUUUGCCAGUCGUGUAAGAUUAACGAGGCUGACGAGGAGAAGUAUACGUUUAAAGUGAAUUCUUCAGGAGCGGGAUUCUCGUGGGAAGGAGCUGAGUACUCCAUCGACGACUUUGUUUAUGUUCAGCCGGAGAACUUUGCCUUACGAAGAAAGGAAACUGGAACUUUUAAAGGUGGAAGGAAUGUUGGUCUAGAAGCUUAUGCUAUAUGCCAAUUGGUGCAGAUCAUUGCAGGAAAGCAAGAUACUGAAGAAUCUACUCAGGUUGAAGUCCGAAGAUUCUUCAGACCAGAGGACAUUGCUUCUGAGAAAGCAUAUGGUUCCGAUAUCCGUGAGGUAACACUUCAAAUCUUUCUAGCAACUUAAACUCCUUCAUCCUUAUAUACAUGAAACUGUAUCUUAUGAUUUAAAUUUCACAGAUAUACUACAGCGAGGAAACACAUACUUUACCUGUUGAGAUGAUAGAAGGGAAAUGUGAAGUCAGAAAGAAAAUUGACGUUCCUGCUUGUAAUGUUACCACAGUUUUGGAUCAUAUCUUCUUUUGUGAGCGUCUCUAUGAUCCUUCUAAUGGUUCGCUUCGGCAGGUAACUAAUAAUUUUAGUUUCUGUUUUUUUUCUAAUGUUUCCUUUUUGAAUGGCAAAGCUUACAACAGUCUUGUGGAAUUAUGCAGUUGCCAGCUAACACCAAACUAAGGUAUUCCAGCCUUGGUGGCAAUGGCGAUGUUGCUUCUAGGAAGAGGAAGGGUAAAGGUAAAGAGGUUGAAGUUGAUGAAGCAGUGGAGAAACCAAAGGAAGAAUCUCAAGGAAACCUUUUGGCCACAUUGGAUAUUUUUGCUGGCUGUGGUGGCUUAUCAGAAGGGCUACGUCAAGCUGGUCAGAGCCUCGUUUCUUCGUUCUUUUCAUCAAAUAACAUAAUCAUCGUAACCUUUUUCCAUCAUUUGAUUUUGGUUAUCAUUAUUCCUUACAGGUGUGUCUGUUACGAAGUGGGCUAUCGAGUAUGAGGAACCAGCUGGUGAAGCAUUCAGAUUGAACCAUCCUGAAUCGCUGGUCUUCGUCAACAACUGUAAUGUGAUUCUUAAGUGAGUGACUGAUCUCAGACAGCUGAUGAAUUUUUUGAUGGAUUCCUUCUGCUCGUUUGUUCUCCUUUAACCAACCUGUGCUUCUGUCUUAAUUUGCAGGGCUGUCAUGGAGAAAUGCGGUGAUACAGAUGACUGCAUCUCAACUUCAGAGGCUGAUGAAUUGGCUGCUGCACUUGGUGAGAAUGUCAUCAAAGAUUUACCUAUGCCAGGACAAGUGGAAUUCAUUAACGGAGGGCCUCCAUGUCAGGUAUGCUUUAUGCACAUAUGGCUUCGGUUUAUCUUAUGUAUCGAAAUGAGUAUUAAUGGCUCUUGGUUUAUCUAAUUGUCCUUUCUUUGCAGGGAUUCUCUGGGAUGAACAGGUUUAAUCACAGCACAUGGAGUAAGGUUCAAUGUGAGAUGAUCUUAGCAUUCCUAUCCUUUGCCGAUUACUUCAGACCUAAGUACUUCCUCCUGGAGAAUGUGAGGAACUUUGUCUCCUUCAACAAAGGACAGACCUUUCGCUUAACCUUGGCUUCGCUUCUUGAAAUGGGUUAUCAGGUACGUGGCGCAACGCCAAUGUGCGGCCAUCACAAGAAUCUGACAUGGUAAAUGGUCGUUUUCACUUUGAACUGAUUCUGCAUUUUAGGUGAGAUUUGGCAUCUUGGAAGCUGGAACGUUUGGCGUUUCACAGUCACGAAAGCGUGCUUUCAUAUGGGCAGCUGCACCAGACGAGGCUCUCCCCGAAUGGCCUGAGCCUAUGUAUGUCUUCGGCGGGCCAGAAUUGAAAGUCUCUCUGUCCAGCAAACUGCAGUACGCUGCUGCUAGAAGCACCGCUGGCGGAGCUCCUUUUAGAGCUGUAACUGUAAGAGACACAAUCGGCGAUCUCCCAGCUGUAACCAAUGGUGCCUCGAAAGCAACUCUAGAGGUAACUUGCAUCGCAAGAAAAAAAUCACCAAUUUUUGUUACCAUGCUUAUCAAGUAAAUUGUAUUAUCUAAUUCUGAACUUACUGGCUGUUCAUCAACACAGUAUUCGAACGAUCCAGUGUCGUGGUAUCAGAAACAAAUCCGAGCUAACAUGGCUGUCCUCACUGACCACAUAUCAAAAGAAAUGAAUGAACUGAAUCUCAUCCGAUGCAAGAAGAUUCCGAAGCGGCCUGGUGCUGAUUGGCGUGAUCUCCCGGAAGAAACGGUAAAUGAUUUCUCUUCUAUCUUGCUGUGACUUACAGUUAAGUGUAAAUUGAGUUUUCCUUAGGGGUGGAUAUUUAGUUAUGGUUAACGGUUAAAACUAAAUUCGGUCAGUUAAUCGGUUGAUCUGAAAUAUUUGGCAGGUUACGUUGUCGAACGGACAGAAGGCUGAUCUCAUCCCGUGGUGCUUGCCAAACACGGCAGCUCGCCACAACCAGUGGAAAGGACUGUUUGGAAGGCUUGACUGGGAUGGCAACUUCCCAACCUCGAUCACCGAUCCUCAACCUAUGGGCAAAGUCGGGCUGUGCUUCCAUCCUGAUCAGGACAGGAUCGUUACCGUCCGCGAGUGUGCUCGAUCUCAAGGAUUCCCCGAUAGCUAUCAGUUCUCUGGUAACAUCAUUAGCAAGCAUCGUCAGAUCGGAAAUGCUGUGCCUCCGCCAUUGGCCUAUGCUUUGGGAAGGAAGCUGAAGGAAGCUGUUGGUAGUAAGAAGGCCAUAGAGUCGAGUUCUGAGUAGCUAAAGAUUUCAAUUUCGCGGGAACUUUUCGCUUGUGUAGAAACUUUAUGGGUUCUGGAAAACCAGACUGAUUGAUUAUAAGUGAAAGUUAUUAAAAUCAAUCCAAGUAAUGCCUGAUUUAUUAGUCUGCCAUUUGAUCUGUUCAUCUUAUUGGUUGGGAUCUCAUCUUUUCGAAUUGAAAUUUCGACGACAAGGUGAACCAAUACGAUGCCCCUUUGUGACGAAAUUGAAUUGACGAGCAAAAGGGUCGGGGUACUGAGGUUCAAGCGAUGCUAGAACUUGCAUAAAAAAUCUUGCUGUGUGUCAUACAUGAUUUAUACAGAUGAAAUCAUAAGGCAAUUGAGUACAAAUCCUUCAAUUAAACAAUCUAAUUACAAACAACUAAAUUAGGCAGACGGAUUGCUAAGCAGCAGCAUCAGAUCACCUGACCCGAAAUUUAGGCCAAACGGAUAUGACACCAGCCCUCGUCUCAUCGGAACGGUAACUGUGAAAUAAUGAGAUCACAUUUCAGCACUGCACCAAUCAGAGUUCAUGGAGAUGAAUGAAGAGCAGUGAAGCUUUAUCUUACCCAUUUUCAUUAAGGAAGCUUCUCACUGCAAUUGGCAAUGCAGCUUCACCCCGGCUAUGAUUGCCUACGCCUGUAAAAGAAAACGGAUUGAGAAUACCAGAAGAUAACUUAGAACUCAACCAAGAUAUGUAUAUAAUUAUAACCUGUUAUAACUUGUAAUGGCGAUCUCUGUCAAAUGGUAGUGUCAAAGGACUCGAGGGAUGAAGAUCGCACCAUCCCAUUCGUUAUUUUCAUCUUACAGGGAGAAGGUGCACGAUUUACCGAAAGCAAAGUCUCUAUCUUGUACAGAUGUUCUUUCAAGGCUUGAACAGCCUCUGAUGCAUGAAGGCCGUGCAGGUCUAGCUUCCACGGAUUACCGCCGUUGUUUCUUACACUCAAGAUCUCUCUGGCUGCUUUGGCGUUGAGUUUUUCUGCCGCCAUCCAAUCCCCUUGUGCUUUCAAGGAAUGUUCUCGUGCGGAAAUAUGGUCAUUUCUUAGGAAGGCGUUAGUGGCUGCCCUGGAAUGCUGGGAAGCUGAUCUGCAAAACAAGCAUGCAAUGCUAAUUAUGAACUUGGAACUAUCGCAUUCUGACAGAUAAAUAAUGGAAUCAAGAUCCCGCAUAUGGAUAAGUGUUCAUAAAUAGAGGUUAACUAACGAUAUCUGGAUCUCAUAUUGAUAGCAAUGGUUUCAGAAAAAGUUACCAAUUCAAAAAGCUUAGGGAACAAAGUUAUUGAAAGACAGCAUCUUUAGCAGAACUAUGAAAUAAUGAUAUCUCGAUAUCAAAUCAUUAGCAAUGCCUUUGAGCCUUUGUUCCUAGCAAAUAAACUACUUAGUUAAACAUUCAGAUUGACAGAAAACACACACCUCAUCAUCUUUAUUGCAUCCUUUCGACGGCUUAAAUAGAUAUCAUCCUCUUCCCACUCCGGCUCGGAUGGAAUAGAUCUCAAAUGCUGCAGCACCCGUUCCAUGUUCAUAGUAGCAUCAUCAAAUUGCAAUGGCUGACGAGUACCGCUUAGAGCAUUCUCUAUCGUAGAACUCAGAUCGGCAAUCUCUGCAGCAAGGUCUGUCGUAUUACCUGACAGAACAACACCCUCAUCCCUCCCAUUAUUGCAAGGAGUAUUACCAUACAUUUCUUUCAGCAAAGAUGAUGCCUUUUCAACGUCACCAUCUGCAGCCGCUACGAUAUCUUCAACCAAAGAACUAUCGGCCCAACCGUGGAGCUCUUUGAGCUUCUGAAGAGAACUAUCUAAAUCAUUCCCCUUCUUAUGCACCAGGGUUGGGAAUUCAGCAGUUGGUAGAAGAACCGACGAAAACAACUUCUUUUUGGCAAUGACUCCAUUCCCACGCGAAUCGAGCGAGGUGGAUGCAGCCGAAACAGGUGGGAAAGGAUCAUUGCGAGUUUUUUCAAGCUGACCUCCGGCGUUCUCUUGUUGCUUGAGAUUGAAGGCAGCCCAUCCCGGGGACUUAACCCUCGUCCUUGACGGCUUCAUGUGUGUACGCAAAAUCGGGUUAAUUAAGAAGAAGCCAAGUCCCCUUCUUUUAUAAUCACAGUAGUGGCCGACAAAAUUUCUUCCAAAAGGGACCUGAGACAUUGGAGAGUAACCGGUUAUUCUUUAGAACAACAGGAUUGUAGCAAAAUCAAAUCAGCAGCAGCUAGUAGCAAGUCAAAGCCUGAGAUUUACAGAAAAUUGAAUUGAAAUUGAUAUCCCAAUUGAGCUACCGGGAUCAUAAAAUCGAAAUAGUAGCUUUAAUGAACGAGCACAGAACCCUAUCCAUAGAUUAAGAAACUGAGAAUCUAAUAAAAAUGCCCACUUUCCCCCCAGCUAAUGAAGCAUAAACUAGCAAAUAGAAUUCCCAAUGAACAAAAACGAGAAACGCAAAUAGGAGAACCAUAGAAGUUCUUUAGAACAACAGGAUUGAUGCAAAAUCGAAUUAGUAGCAGCUAGUAGCAAGUUAAAGCCUGAGACUUUGCAGAAAUGCAGUACUUCCAAUAACUGAUUAAACACCAAAUUGGAUUGAAAUUGCUACCCCUAAUCCAAAUCCAGCCUUUUCUCCAACUGAGCUCAUAAGGAACGCGGGAAGAACCCUAUCCAUAGCUUAAGCAACUAAGAAUCUAAUAAAAAUACCUAAUUUUCCCUCCCCCCAGCUAAUGAAGCAUGAACUAUCAAAUUGAUACAAAAUUGAACAUAACCAAAGACAAAAAACCAAAGGGAAUACCUGAUUACAGGAGAAAAGGAGGAGGGAGGGAAUUAUCUGGGAAGAGUGAAGCGUAACAAAGGAGGAAGAAGCUCUGGAAUUGAAUUAGGGAGAUGAGAAUAGAGAUUCAAAGAAGAAGGAGACAAAGGGUUCUUGCUGUUGAGGAGGAUUGUUGUUGUUGUUGUUGUUGUUCUGCAUAUGAUAUCCAUAAAUAUGGGAGAAUUCUACUUCUGAUAGUCUCUGAUUCUGUCAAACAUUCGUGGGAAGAACACAGAGGAGGAUGACGAAGAAGAAGAAGAAGAAGAAGGAUAGAAGAACAAUAUGACUUGGCAUUGCUGCAGAGAGGUUUUUCCUUUAAAUUUUUUUCCCACAAUUGAAAAAAAAUAGGUUAUUAUCCACUUUGGUCAUCAAUCUAUUGGAUAUGUAACAAAGUGGUCAUCUCUGAAAGCUAACCUAUGUCCUACUAACUCUUUUUUUUUAACAAUACGGUCAUUUUGUAAACUUAUUGUCCGAGAUUUAAAAAUUCUAUCAAGUUGAUAGAUCAUCAUGUCCAACUUAUUGCUCAUCAAUUCUGUUCAUGUAACAUUCUACCACGUCGUCUAUUCUUUCCUAAACCCAACCCAUUCAGCCCGCAAUCUAAUUUAAUUCAAUUCAGUUGAAACAAACCAACCAAAACCAAAUGGAAUAGGUUCAUAACAUGAUAUCCCACCUCGUUGAAGCUCCUUGAAUUGAACUAGAUACCUAAUCACCUCCAACAUUGGCUUUAUGGGCUUGUUAAGGGCAAGUUUUUUAGAAUGUGGGUUGGAAACAACUACAAAUUCGAGUUCCACUAUAUCAACCCUUCAAACGGUAGCCAAAUGUGAAGUUAAAAAUGUAAUUUUCCUAUUUUGACGAGUUUUUUAAGGAUAUUAAUGGCUAAUUUUUAAUAUACGUGUUAGCAACGGCUGGAAAUUUAAACUCCACUAUAUCAACCCUUCAAAUUUUGGUUAAAUGAAGUAAGAAAUUCAACUUUCAUUUUUGAGCUGUUUUUUUUUCGGUUUUUGUAAGGUAUUUAUGCGCUUUUUAUGAAAAUUGGCCAAAAAAUUAAAUUGAUUAAUUUUUGAAAUGUAUGUUGAAAAGGAUUAAAAUAUAAUUUUAAAUCAUCAUACAUUAGCAAAAUGAAAUGAAAAACGCAAUUUUCAUAUGUGCUUUAUGAGUUUUUUCUUGUAACCCAAGCUUUGUCAACUUUUGAGAGUGUGCGGAUCAAGACACCUCCUUUUACCGCACUCCUCGUCUUCAUCGUCCUCGCUAAUGGCUCCAAACUCGCUCUGACCAACUCCAAGUUGCCUUCAACAGUAGGGUACGUGGGAAUUUGAGUUAGCAUUGCCCAAUUGCUAAUGAACAAGCAAGCAAGCUAAGGCACUGAAAACAGUGUCCAACUUCAUAACUAUUGACGCCCUGCCUGUGGACAAUUAACAACCGUAAGCUUCUUCAAACACGGCAUUUGAUGCAAUAAUGGCGAAAAGUACUUGCAAUUCCAGCAGUCUGGCCUUGAUAAAUAUAUAGUGAUAGCAUACAAGAGUUUGAACCUUGUUUCCAUUUCGUAACUCGAAAUGUGCAUCCUCGUCUUUAAAUAGUGUCCAGAUGACGAGUUUUCGAGGUCAUGUUUUUCAGGAUAUCAUACCCCCCUGCUAUAGAAUCAGCAAAAUCAUGCAUCAAAUCGUACAUUGUUCUACAUGUUGACACAUUUCCAUACUCAUCCAUCUUCACCUCCACCGUAACAUUUUGAAGCAUCCUACACCUUCAUCGAUCUUCCGACUCUACGUAUCCUUGCGCAGCCCGAAAGUGAACCAACAAAUUCAAACACUCUACCAGCAGCAUAUAUAACUCAAUAUCGCCAGCCUUUGAAGCUUCUGCACAGUAUCUACAGCUGCAGUUUGAAAUUGAAUAGUCACAGCUGCAGUUUCUGAACGAACUAUCAACUUUAGACAGAAAACAGGAUCAAAAUCACAAUAAAUAAAAAUCGAUUUUGAUGAAUCAACAGCCUAGGCCUACGAUCAAAUUACCCUUUAAAACCCUUGAAGUUUGAAACACAAAUGAAAACCAGAAGCCAAAACAAACCCCAUGAAGCCACCCCACAGCUGCUGAAAAUUCAGUCCCUGAAUUAGCAGGAAAGCAAACCAAGCAAAUGGUAUCCAGCAAUGGUAGUCCAAAUUCCCCACAAACACAUCAUGGAAAUUUUGAUGAGAAUGCAAUGAACAGUUAUGCCUCACACAAUAUCCAGGAGGAGCUGAAAAGUAAAAACUUCACACCAGACCCAUACCAGACCCCACGUAUUCGAUGCAAUAGAGUUAAGACUAUAGCAAAACACAGCAAGGCUGCCCCUAUCGAAUUCAUAUAAUCAACUCAACUCAUAAUUAUGCGUUGAGACUUGAGAUGUCUUACAACUAGUUAUAAACAAAGAUUAUAUGAAAUCAAUCAGUGUUGCUAGAAACGGCAAAAGUAACUAAUACUUUGAACUUCAGAAUUCCCAUAAACAAAGGAGAAAUAACCCAGCUGGUAUAGUGGUUUUGUCUUCUUCCCCAAUUCCUUGGCUUAUUUUGUACUAAUCUGAUCCAAAAACCGUGCACUGAAUCUGAUCACAAUCCACCACUUGACAAAAAGUCACGUCAUUAUGCAACAUAAUCCCCAUUAGUUGGUGCCCACCAAAACAAAAAUAAUACCAGGGGUGGGGCGAUCAAUACAACUGAUCAAGCCCACCAACCCAUCAAAGCUCCCAAUUCUUCAACUUAUAAAUAAACCAAACCCCUUAACCCUCACAAUUCAGCAAUCAAAAUUCAAAAGUUACCAAAUUUCUCACAGCAAAAAAACUGAAACAAUGAGUUCAACAAGCAAAGCAUGGAUGGUGGCAGCAAGUAUUGGAGCAGUGGAGGCACUCAAGGACCAACUUGGUUUCUGCAGAUGGAAUUAUAUCCUCCGAUCUGCUAAUCAAUAUGCCAAGAGCAACGUCAGAUCCAUCUCAUCACAGGCUAAGAACAUCCCUCCUUCUUCCUCUGCAGCGGUGGUUUCAAGUAAAUUGAAGGAGGCUCAACAGUCUGAAGAGUCGUUGAGGAAAGUUAUGUACUUGAGCUGUUGGGGUCCUUGCUGAUAAACAGAAGAUGAAAGUUGUACACAGUUCUGUAGUAUAUAGUUAGAUUCAUUGGUUCUAAGCUAAGAACCUUAUAACUGUAACGUUUCAAAAAAUGGAAAUAAAAUCAUCAGAAAAGUUCUAUACAACAUCUGCACAACAUUCAAAGAAAGAUUGUUUGGUUUUAAUAGGCAGGGGAAGAAAAUCAAAUGGAAAGACGGGAUCUUUUCCAUGAAUACGUUCACCAGCGAAUGUGGGUCUGUUUCUCCAUCAGCUACCAACAACUAUUACUACAGUUGUACGUAGCAUUCAAGCGAAAGAGACGGAGAGGCUGCUGGUGAAUGAGCCUCCUAUUGGCUUUGGCCUUGUAUCCUGAUCCGGGUACGGGCCAACCCGACUAAAUUCUCCACACAACUUUCCACCACCGUCGUCAAAACAACUCUCUGUUUCUUCUCCUUCCCGGCGGCCAACCCACAGCCUCUUCCUCACCCGCCGGCAGCUUCUCUCUCUCCCCCCCCCCCCCCCCCCCCCGACAUCGCCGGCGGAAUCAGUCAUCAAAAGAAAAGCACAAUGAAGGAACCUUUCUCACAGCUCAAUCAUGUUCAAUUUUAGUAGUUCCUUCUAAGCCUCUGUUUCAUCGUCCUCUGUUCUGAGCUUGAGUAGUUUCAUGCCGGGUGGGGAUAAUACACCGUCAUUAUUCGAUCUAGCCUCCAUCGUCAUCAUCAAUUCGUCAGAAGGAUUUUCAAAACCUCCCCAUUAUAACCAAACGCUAAAUGCUGGAAGAAGGCAACAAAAGAGGGAGAUUAAACUACACAAAUAAGUUUCAGUGUUGUUCAACUUCAAAGCUUCUUCUGUCUAGGUCCUCCUACAGAGAGUGUUAAAAUAAAACUCUACCUGAUUGCUUAUUAGUUGGGAAACAGGAAGAAAGAAACAUCAAAGCUUGCAAUUUUACAGACUAGGAAGAACAAGUAGGCCAUCACCAACAAAUAAGUAAACAACCGCAGCAAGAUACAAACACUGUGAGAAAAACGGAAGUGAGGAUGGAAGAAACAAGUGACUUUUUUGUGUGACAGCAUACCUCAAAAUCUCGUAAAGCUUGCAGUUCAGGAACAAAGCAUUCCUAACUUUGAAUCCGUAUAAACCUUGGAUAAAGGAAGAAUAAAAGAGCAAUAAUAGCAAAAUAAGACCGUUAUUGAUGUGAUUUUCAACUUUCAAGUAGACUAGUACAUGAAAAGAAAAAGAUAUUAGAAAUUUUAAUGGGAGUGGCUUAAUUACAAAGCCGAUAUACAUUAACAAUUUUUGCAUUGUGUAGGUUUUUUCGAGGUAUUAACGGGGUUUUUUUAAGUUGGUUGAUCUUUAAUAUGCGUGUUAGUAACGAUUAGAAAUUCAAACUCCACAAUGUCAAUCCUUCAAAUUUUAACCAAAUAAAGUAAGAAACUCAAUUUUCAUUUUUAGCAGUUUUUUGUCCUUUUCUAUAGAGGUACCUAUGCGUUUUUUUAUAAAAAUUGAUCAAAAAAUUAAAUUGGCUAAUUUUUAAAAUGCUUAUUAGAAAUUACUAGAAGAUAAAAUUUCACUAUGUUAGACCCUCAUAUUUUAACCAAAUAAAGUCAAAAACGCAUUUUUUGUGUGUGAUUUACAAGUUUUUUUUUGUAUAUUAGACAUUAGUUAAGUUGAGCUUAACUAGUUCUUGUAUACAAGUUGGCUAAACUUUCAAUUUCUCGCUUGAUUGUUCAUAUGUAAGAAGAACAAGUACAAAUCUAUAAAAAAAGAGUAUGCACAAACAUCUUAACGAAUUUCAUUCUUCGAGUAAUGUUAGACUUUCUGAACAGCGAUGACAUCAAUUUGGAGACAGAAAAUAGAGCCUUGCUAAAGCAUACUCUUCCCCAGCUAUCACUACACCAGUCUCCGACCACUGCACAUCAGCUUCCCAGUCAAGCUUCUCCGCCACCACCUCAACAUGUUCCGGAGGAAGUGGGAUGCCGAACGAUCGCAUCAUCUUCUGCGGCAAGGCUCCCUUACAUUGCGACCACCGGAAACCAUCGCCAGUACUUCGAGAUAGUUCAUCUAAACACAGCUCGUACCUGUAACGUAGUAUGGCAUUUGAGACAGAUAUGAUACUGUAUAUCAUACAAACUUGCUCAAGAAUCGGUUUCGAAAUUGAUCUAUUAGAAAUAAAAACAUUCAACCAACCAUGGUGAAAGAUUAACCUGCAAGAAUCUGUUUCCAAGUAUAGAACUUCACCCUUUUUCAAGCGUGUAUAGGCAUAAGGUUGCUCAUUAAGUCCUUUGCCAGUAACAAAGGUCAUGCUGUAUUUUACCCUGCAUAUAAUAAUCGUUUGCAAUUUGCAUCCCAAUAACUCGAAUUAUUGAGAAAGAAUACCAUAAUUGGUUUAUAUAACAUUCCGAAGUCGAAGUGCAUAGCUGAUUUGGUUCAGAAUAAGCAGCAAUGGUGUUAUCGAAAAUGCGAAAGGCAUUUGCGAAGACCUCCCUUCAAACUCAGAUCAGUGGUGAUGAACCCAGCAAAGAACGUGAAGAACCGAUCAUCGGAGAACAAGACGAUGACUUAACGAGAGGUGUGAUUCUUGCCUAGGAUGUAUUCAAACUCACCUAAAGGCUAAAACUUGAAAUCUCGCUCAGAGUCUUCGACCAUUCUGGUUCCAAGUGUGUAUUACAGUUAGUUAAUAGGAUUAGAAAACGAACCAGGGCUCAUUGCAGAGGUUGUUCUGGAUAGUAACUUCACGCACAAAUCUUGAUGCUUUCUGAAAAGAAGAGAGGAGAAUCGGGAAACUCAGCAUAAUUACAAGGUAACUGCAAAUUCGAAAUGGACGAAGAUGAAUACUGAAGCUGAAGCUGCAGCCCUUGUGGCCAUCGACGAACUGAUAUGAGCUGAUCAAAGGCUAAUUAGUUUUCAUCGCGAGCUCUGUAGCUCAACGUAUAUUCUUAUACUGAUCUCUGUAUCAAUUUCUGUGACGGGAUUUACAAAAUUAACAUAAAAAUUCUUGUCCAUCACAGUUGUUGAGAUGGCCGAGUUGGUCUAAGGCGCCAGAUUAAGGUUCUGGUCCGAAAGGGCGUGGGUUCAAAUCCCACUCUCAACAUUGUUUUCAUCGUCCGAUUGUUUUUCCAUUUCGGUAGACUUCGGGUGCAGUUUGGUUGGAUCGAGUUAUUGGAACAUUGCUCAUUUUACCGAGUCCAUUUAAAAACUCUUAUUAGGAUACACAAUUUCUUUUAAUUUGGAUAGCUUCACUAUGAAGAAAACUUAAUACUAACUCAAUGGUCAAGACUAUCGACAUAUGACCCUCGAAAAAUAUGAAAGAGUCACUAUAUAAGCUAUAUUAGACCGAGUCCAUAUAACAUUCUAAUACACAAUAUCUUUUAACUUUCUCCACUAUGAAAAAAACAUAAUACUAACUCAAUGGUCAUCCACAUGACCCCCGAAAGUUGUGAAAGAGUCGGUACAUCAGCUCAGCGACGAACAAACUAGUGAACCGUAAUUAAUAUAAUGAAUAGUAGUGAAUCAUUACUUUGUAUAUUAAAUCCGUAGUUACAACCAUGGGUGGGGAAUCACCGACCACUGUUUCAAUCCUGGUUCCGCCACUGGUUAGAAAGGAGGCAACAAGCCAACAAUUUGACAAAUAUCAUGUGAUUCAAGAUACGAGUAGAGUAGAAUUCUUAGUUCCUAACAAACAAAUACAACCCAUUUUUACAACGAUGCCACAACACAAGCCAGCAGAGACUGCUUUUGUCAACUUGGAGACAGAAAAUGAACCCUAGCUAGAGUGUAGUCUUUCUCAGCUAUCAACACACCCGUCUGCGACCACUGCACGUCUUCCCAGUCAAGGUUCUCCGCCACCACCUUCUCGAAAACACCAACCAACAAACCCAACAUUACUUGAUGCAUCAAAGAAGAACGAUUCUGAAGAAACAAGAGAAAAAGGAGGCACCUCAACAUGCUCAAGAGGAAGUGGGAUCCCGACGGAUCGCAUCAACUUCUGAGGUAAGGGCCUCUUGCAUCGAGACCACCGGAAAGCAUCGAUUAGAACAUUGCUGGUGUCGGAGUUGUCGCCGUUGGAAGAAUGUGGAGGACGAAUUUGAGACGAUGACUUGUCUGUGUCUUCGUGCUGCUGCGCUGCUUGCGAAGCUCGUACCAUCUUCUCCCCGGCAAAACACAGUUCGUACCUAGAACAGAGUUUCCUAAGUUAACUGGAGCUACGAGGAAAGCAACAAGACCAUCUGACUUCUUUCAUAUUGUGUUUUCCGGGAUCUAUGACUGAUAGUUUGGAGGAACGAGGUGAGGGAAUAAUCUGAACUACAGAUGCAUGCAUGGAAAAUUACCUGCAAGAAUGGGUUUCCAAAUACAGAACUUCUCCCUUCUUCAAGCGUGCAGAUGUAUAGAGUGGCUUUUUGAGUCCUUUGUCAGCAACAACACUGAUACUGUAUUUUAUCCUGUGAACGAUACGAGAGCCGAUGAGAAAUUGUGUUUUUCAGAGUGUAUUCGAAAGGAAGAAUCCGAUAAAACAUGAAGAUUGAAGGGGAUAAGAAAACAUACCAGGGCUCGUUGCAGAGGUUGUACUGUAUCGUAACUUCACGAACGAAUCUUUGUUGUCGUAAUGCGUUCUAAAAAACAGAGAGGGAAGGCUGAGAAAUCAUCACACAGGCUUACACCAUUGUCUAAAAAUGAAUUGCAAUAGAAAUGGAUGAGGCAUACUGAAGCUGCAGCUCUUGUGGUCAUCGUCCGCUCGACAGCAACAGGAGCGAGAGUAGGCUCGACUGCUGAUGUAUGCGACAGACAAGGCUCGAGAUCGAUAGUUCCUCCUCCUUUCUGGAAUUAAAAAUGAGUAGGUAAGCAUUCCGGACAAAGUACGUGACUUGAUUGGACACAUGGAGCUAGAAAAUUAGGAAAAAAAAUGUCUGUGGUUCUAACCUUCACAAUGCAGCAGCGCUCCACACGGUAGCUGCAAGCAAUUCCGGCUCCCCAAGCACGGGAGCGAACAUUAUUUCUGAGCAUUGACGUAUAGCCUAGCACAUAGUGGCAUACAUGAUUAAACAAGCAGUAUUACAAAAUAAUGAUGCUAAAAUGGCAUACUUCACUAAGAUUUCUCGUUGGUUGCUUGGGUGAAUUGUGUUACAUAUCAAUAAGCUAUAUCUAUACGAUUAUUAGGGGACUGUGGACAUAGAAUUAGGAACAAGGGCUUACUAUCUUGUGGUGCCAAAACCCUUAUGGUGGCGCGUAACUCUUGGAUAGCCGGUGGAGGAGGAGAAGCAGUGGGCCGGCAAUAUCCCGUGUGCAUAAGAACUCAAAUCACAUUAUAAAAAUGACGUCAGUUCAUCAAACCACUCUUAACAGAAUUACCAUUAAUGGAACUUAUAUAAGAACUCACCAGCAACGAGGUCCGAGUCAUCGGUGUAUAUAUCCGUCCCCCAAAGCUGGCCACCUCUGACCUGUAACAUAAUGAGAAAGGAAUUCGGGUCAGCCAUUUGACUAAUGCUAACUGCCUAGAUAGAAGGUUAAGAGCCUCAUGCUUACUUGGCGGUUUGUAGCUGUGAUGUUUUCUGCUGGUAUCCGAAUUUCCAGAGUGGGGCCAUUAUGAGUAGUACUAUCCCCAUUUUUUUCAGGUUGAGUUGAUUCAUACUCUUUCCACAUUUUUAUCAGAUCCCGCAUGCAUUCUCCAACUUUGUAGACCACCGUGGAUACCUCAGGUUUGCCUGAAUCACCAUUGCAACAACGUUAAUAACCCUAGAGAGCAUAUACAGUUCUAAGCUCUGUCCAUCUAUGGGAAAACUUCUUAAAAAUGCAGAGACCAGAACCACCAUGCACAAAGAAUCAAAAUGUAACACUUGUAUCAUACUGAAGGUCUCCAGAAUGAUUGAGGUGAAAAUAAGAGCAUACCUUGGGAUCUGCAAAAAUAAAGAGAAAUCCGUUAGAAAUCCACGGAGUUAAGUGACUGAACUAUAAAAAUGAAAACACUAAAAAACAAGUCAGCUAGCCUGAACUGUGUAAAGCCCUUCCAUUGGAGAGGCUUCAUCCACUAGAAAGGCUUAAAAAGAAAUAAUUUUAUGUACAACAACAAACACACGAACACAGAAACAAGUACAAACAAGGCAUAGUAGUAGGCAUAAGUCAGAUCCCUCCCUGAUUUUCUAUGAAACCUGUAGUUAAAAGAACUUAGAAAAAACAACAUAGAGUCAACACAUUGAGAGAUUUGGAAGCUCUAUGCAAAAUAACCACUUCAAAAAUAUUGCACAUGGCAUGAAGAACAACAAAAGACAAAUCAUCAAGGAAACUAUAGUGACAAGUAAGUAACACAAGAAAUGGUAUAGAGACGACACAAACCCUUCAUUUUCUUGAGUAUGCGCCUUAGAAUGGGGCUCAAGAUUAGCCACUUGAGGACUGCCCCUCGUCCUUAGCAUCCUCUUACGCUGCUGAACACCGAAGUUAAAAGCCUCGCGCUCCCUUUCACUACCUCCUUCACCAUCCGGCAAUCCAUCGUCAGAUUCCUUUUCACCCAACCUGAUACGCUUUUGUUGUUUAUCUCCUUCUACAUCACCCUCCUUCUCUUUUCUCUUCUCUUUAUUCUCCCUAUCGAUAUUUUUCCACGCAUCAAGAUCUUUUGCCUUUUUGUGUUCAAAACCCGGGUUCUCCACCUUAGAUACUUUCACAGACACAUCACCACCCAUAUCUUUCUCACCGUGAGAGCUUUCUUUCUCCACACCAUUCCACGACUCUCGUUUCAUAUGAUCCUUUGGUUUUUCCUUGUCCUUAGAAAGAUCCUUCCUUUCCCUUUCCAGCCUCUCCAGCUCUCUUUCCUCUCUUGCUGAGUCUUUCACAUCAGCACCACUGCUGUUACCAAUCUGGAAGUUUGCCUUUCGAUCGUUUCUUUCCUUAUCCCCCCACUCCCUAUACUUGGCAUCUUUCCUCUUCUUAUCCUUAUCCUUCCACCUAUCCUCGUUCUUCGACUCAACUUUAUUCUCACCAACUGCCUCACGUGCCUCUAUAUACUCCCUGCCUUCAACAUUUUGACCUUCCUUACUAAUCACAGGUGGAGCUUGAGGAUUUCCUCUCGACAAAUGCCAAGGAUCGGCAUGCACAUUAGCAGAUUCAGAGUACCUUUUCCCUCUAUGAUACUCUUUAGAUUCUUUCCAAGUCACUUGACUACUUCCUGACUGAACCAAACCAUCCUUCUCCAACUUCACUUCAUUUUUCGGAUCACUAUGCAUUUCCCUUUCGUGCUUAUUAUCAUCUCUUCUAACCUCUACCCUCAUAUCCUUCUCCAGUUUAACACUUUGAGCAUCCCUUGCUUCAGUCCUUUGAUCGCGAUGCUCCUUGCUGUCCUUGGACUCCCUUAACUCCACCCGGCUACCAGCAGAAGCAACAGGAUGAGUAGUCUCCAUAUGAGAAUCAUUCGAACCAGACGGCAUUCGGUACACCGAAUGAAGCGGCGAUUUCCGGUCUACAUCGCGAGAAAUCUUCCCCAUACGAGAAUCCUGGCAUAUAUCAUACGGCGCAUGGUACUCGUUAGAAACCACUCCUUGAGUAAUUUUAGGGUAUGUUCCUCCCGGUGUAGAGGAAUGAGCUCCUCCCUCUUCAUGAGAUCUUUUGGGAACUCCACUCAUAUAGAACGCCUAGUUGUCUUCUUCAAUUUGAUACAAAUGAAAGUACCCGGAACCAAAAGCCCUGGAAAAUUAUUCAAAUCGGAUAAAGUAAAAUAAACGAAAUAACCAAUUCAACGCAAUCGAGGGAAAGUGCGUAUUCAAAUGGAAGAAUAAAUCUCAAGUAGCAAUGAAUUUAGUUACAGCAGGGAUUGAAUUUAAUACGAAUUUGAAAAUUAGCCAUGGAUACCUAAAAAUUGCAAGAGAUAAAAGAUUGGAGAACUACAAAAUAGCAGCUCGGCCCCUCGGGCAUUAUAGUUACAAAUUACAAGCAAGGAACGCAAAAUGAACGGAGAAUGGAUAAACAAUCUUGCCUGUAAUUUCUGCCUCUGGUUUGAAUUUCUUUCACUGAGUUUUCUGGAACUGAAGCUUUUUCUCUUCUUCUUAUUUCCCUCUUUCGAGCUUCGUUGCCAGAAAUUUAAUUAUAAACACCAGACGAGGAGACUCUGCGUGCUGCGUGCUGACGUAACUUUGUUCAAAAAUCUCUUAACUGGAUCUUAUCAUGGGCCAAAUUUAAUUUCUUAUUGGGCUUGUUGACUGGUAUUAACUGUGAGCUUCUUGGCCUGGCUUUCGCGGGCUUCUCGGAUCCUACCGUGGGGCCGAUUUCCCGUUGCACCAACACGCUAGCCUCGUGCUGCAGUUCCGCAGCUUAUUGCAGCGGAACUGGAUUGUCAACCUAUCCCACGAUGUCUAAGGAGCGUAAUUUUUUAGCCGAUUGUUUGGCUUAUAGGAGUUAUUUUGUUCAUCUUGGUUUAUAUUCUGUUCCUUUUGAUGACCAUGUUAUUCAGUGGUGGCUUUUGUACAAUACUUUGGGCGUGUCAAUUCCAUGUAGCAUUCAUAAUAUGAGAUAGUGAUGCUUUGCACCCGUUUCAUAUAAAAAAAGAGGAUUAUCUUAGUAAAACGGGUUGGAUAGGUAAUUUUUUUAGCUAGGUGUAUAUUAGUCCGUUCAUAUUGUGUGUAAUUGACAUUUUUUAUCCGGUCUACACCCCGUCAUGUCACCAACCGACUACCUAUUGACUCUGACUUGAUCCAUAUCCAACUGACCAUGAACUAACUAUGGAUGCUUUUCACUGGGGAGAUGAUGUGCCAAUGCCGAAGAACCGGACAAGACUAUGUCAUUCUACUCUAUAUAAAUACUCAUAACUCGGCCAAUUAAGGUUGUAGACGACGAAAACAAGUCUAACUACAGAUACCUAGCUUGAGCUAGAGUGUCGGUAGUAGACGGUUGUCAAGAACAACAAAAGAAGCAUUCUUCCUUAAGAGUCUUGUCUCUAAAACCAGACCAAUGUUUAAUCAAAUCAAACUGUCUGGAAAAGUGUUCACUUUUAACGUACGACAUGGCACUAAAAGAGUGGCUACACAAUUACUUCCAUUUUAUAUAUGUAAUCAUUUGAUACAGACAGCUCGGCUAACAAAAUCCCCUGCAGAAAAACAGAAUCUUCUUCUUUCAUGGCUGGGCUGUACUCUGUUCCAUCUAUUUUUAUUCCCAAUCCAACGAAACGACAGCCGAAAACAUGUGGGCAUCCCAACAGCAUCAAUCCAAUCCAAUCAUUACCAACUAACGAUCCUCAACAAUCAAAGUGAACAAAAAAACCAGAGACUCAGAAAGCUUUUAAUACUUUUUACUGAAACAAAUAUGAACAGAGGAAAAAACAGAGACUCAAAACUCCAUUUGUAUAUAUAUACCGUUAACCGCUUUAAUCAAAUUCUUCAUAUGUAUACAAACAAUCUUUUUACUCUUUUCAUCUUCUUUGAUCUUUGCCUUCACAUGGAACCAGUGUUCUCCAAGCUCCAUGAACUGUGCCUUCCAAGUUUACAGGGCCCUUCAUCGCUCCAGUUCCACUACCAUCAAACUUUUUACAAUAAUCUGCAUUUUCCUUAUAGAACAGUUCUUCCAUUGUUUUGAUCGACAUGUCUAUAUCUCAGCUUUUCUUCUUCACUCUGCAUUAAGACACGUACAAAACAAACCGUUAACAACCACAGAUUCUGUCGAGAACAAUGGGGAAGAGUAAAGUUUGCACAUUUUUCGAUUUAAGUCAUGUGUAAUGGAUUGAGCUUAUCAGAACUCAAAACCAUGAUCAGUCUCAAUAACUCGAGUCAGAAUCACAGGUGAGGGAUUGCCUAGGCUAACGUCAAAGGUUUUUCGACUUCAAAGUGACCAAAUCUUACGUAAAUCAAUACUUUUCUCAGUGCAUUUUUUAAUUUCGUCACGAAUGCUUUUAAAACACACCAUUACUAUUAGCUUGAGUUGUUGGGAGAAGAAUUCCGGACAUAAAAAACUCACAUAACCAAUCACAAACAUAGAGAAGAAAAACAAACAUUGAUAAAAUCAUUGGCCGCAAUCUAAUAACUCGAGCUAAUAGACGAAUCAGGGAUGAACAUACCUAGACUAGUGGCUGAGGGUUGGGGUGACAAGAAACCUUAUGUUCAAACAUUCAAAAAAUCACAUUUGUGUUUGGUUCAUUUUUUAAUUUCGUCCAAAAUGCUUUUAUACAGAACAUCCUUUUAACUUCAUUAUUAAUUCGAAUUGUUGGGAGAAGAAUCAGACCGAAUGAAAACUCAUAUAUAUGCAAUCAUAAAAACAGAGGAGUUGAAGAAAGCAAACAAACCUUGAACAAACCGCCGAUGGCAAUCCUCUGGCCACCGGAAACAGAGCAAUCUUUUGGAGUCUCAAACAACGAAAGCGAGAACUGCUUAAGAACAACGCCGACGUCGAAGUAAAUGAGCCCCGAGCUAGGUACAUCAACGCGAAUUUCCUUAACAGGGAACCAGAGGAAAAGUUCCUGAGCUGAAAUCCCUGACAAGCUGUCGAUCUUGCCGAAGCUCAGCGUUCCCGAAACGUUUCGGUCGUAAUGAAUCUGGCUCCCGUAUUUCGCAUUGCAAGCUUGGUCGAGAUAGGCUUCGAAGUAGCCGGCAGAGGAGUCGAAUUUGAAGUCGGUGAUUCCUUUCGGGAGGAGGCCCAUCGGCAGGCCUUUGGUGCUUAAUACGUCGUAGAUUGAUUUUGAUGAUUCGGAGAGAUUGCAGAGGGUUAGGAGGAUUAAGGAAAAGGAGAGUAGUUGGAUCAUUGUGAUUAAGGGGUUUAGGAGAUGAGGAAAUGAAGGAGGAAGUGGAGGAAGAAGAAGAAGAAGUAGUGGUGGACAAUUCAAUUAUGGUUAAGCGGAUUGAUCGGUUGAUUCGAUAAGUUAACCGGUUAAUAUAAAAUAAUGGUUAACCGGUUAGAGAUUUAAUUUCAUUAAAAUGUAGUUUGUGUCAAAAUAAUUUACUUGGCAUUGCAAAAAAAUGUAACAUUUUGGGUGUGAAGUUUCAAAUAACUUUUUUAACAAUAAGGAAUUAUUUUCGUUAGUGUCAUUUUAUGACAUUAUAGUUAGGUAAACUCUAAGGCCGUUAAUUUUCAGUUUGAAUAUUUUGUGAUAUUGUAUUAUAAGAGGGCAUUAAAGAAUGCACUUUUCGAAAUUCGAACGUAGAAUUUCCAGCCUGAAAAUCAGCGUCAUCACGUUACGCCUCAUUUGUGUGUUUCAAAUAACUCACUUUCCAUCUAUCGCCUUUUUAAAAUAUAGCGACAUUUCGACUACUUUAACCUUUUUUCGUUUAUCUAAUACUGCAUUGGAUUAACUCAUUAGCCAAACAAGAUAAUUCUUAGAUCAGAAUUCUUACACUUCAUAACUCUCACAUCCCUAAAUAACUCAUCGGUUUGCUUCAAAGUACGACACACGUGCAAAACAACUCUUCCAAACGGUCGCUAAUUGAUUCUUUAUAUUCCAUAUUUAUGCCUAUUUUAACCGAAACUCACCAUUGCCGACGACUUACUUCGAUCGACAAAUUAACCAUUUUAACCAAUAAUCGUCAUGUAUGUCGAUUAAUCAGUUAAUAUAUUUUUUGUUUAAUCAUAAUUAAUCGAUUAUAUAUAAUCGGUUAUUAACCACCCAGUCGAUCCACCCGUAGAAGAAGGGGAGACAGCGAUGGUGGUGAUGCCAGCUUGAAUCCAGCGAUGACGUACGACAGCCAUUGAAAUUAUUGGUGGUGGGAGGUGGCGGAGGUCAAAAUUAUACGGUUUGGUUGAGCUGUGGCGAAUGGGGGAGUGCCACGUGAAGAGAAGAGAGGUGGGUGAUGAGCUGGGAUUGACAGCGAAGAAAAGUAAAAAACGGGGAGAGACACGUGGGUUGGGGCGCGAGUGGGAUGAGAAUCCAGUUCCCAGCUGGUUGAUUGGGUAGUGGUUUACUUUUCUUUUAGUUAAUGGCAAACAACGCUAAAAGGUGACAUGAGCAUUUUAUACUUCCGAAAUUAUUUACUAAUAAAUUAUAAUUCAGAUUAAUGUAUUCUUUUGACACAAUUAAUGAUUUUAACCUUUCAUCGAAAAUACCAUGAUGUAAACAUUCACUAAAAUUAAUAAAUGUAAAGUUAAGAGGUUAGUAUUUACAUGGAUAAUAUCUACUCAUUGUAUAUAACUCGUCACGAUAAGGUGAAUUAAGCCACCCUAGUCACUAUAUGAAGCACACGCAUAAGUCUAUGUAAGUUAAUCUUUAAAGGAGUGUCUAUGUAAGUUAAUCUUUAAAGGAGUAUUAAUGGAGGAUGACACAUUACUUAUUAUUUUGACUUGAUUUCUUAUUAAAAGUAAAUAUAUUACGCUAAUAAAUAAUAAUCAACCGUUUGAACUCUUCACUAGAAACACUAUGAUGUAAGCAUCCAUUGAAAUCAACAACUGUAAGGUUAAGAGGUUAGUAUUUACAUAAAUAAUAUCUACGUACACCGUUUGAACUCUUCACUAGAAACACUAUGAUGUAAGCAUUAAAAAANNNNNNNNNNNNNNNNNNNNNNNNNNNNNNNNNNNNNNNNNNNNNNNNNNNNNNNNNNNNNNNNNNNNNNNNNNNNNNNNNNNNNNNNNNNNNNNNNNNNNNNNNNNNNNNNNNNNNNNNNNNNNNNNNNNNNNNNNNNNNNNNNNNNNNNNNNNNNNNNNNNNNNNNNNNNNNNNNNNNNNNNNNNNNNNNNNNNNNNNNNNNNNNNNNNNNNNNNNNNNNNNNNNNNNNNNNNNNNNNNNNNNNNNNNNNNNNNNNNNNNNNNNNNNNNNNNNNNNNNNNNNNNNNNNNNNNNNNNNNNUUGAGAGUGUAGUAUUUACAUAGACAGUAUCUACGUACAUGUGACUCUUUUAAUCAGAGUUUGGAGAAUUAACCGGCCAGAAUUACUUAAUGAAGAAUGCAAAAGUCCAUCCAUGUUAACCUUCAAACGAGUGUUCAUUAUAAGUAUUAUUGUUUCGUAUUUUGGCUCGAUUCUGCAUUAAAGGUAAAUAUAUGCCGCUACUCACUUUAGCGACGAAAAAUUAAAUUUAACGAAAAUAGAUAUUUGACAACCUUAUCAUCGAAAUUCUACUUUAGUCUUGAUUGAGAUAAUAAUAAAUGAACAACAACCAAAUUCACAAAUUUCUUUAUUUAUUCUCUUUGAAAAAACAAUACAAAAAUAAUAAUGAUCAUGUCCCAACCACAUCACACAUACAAGUAUGAAUUUAGUACAUUUAAAGAUGUCUCACCUAAAUGUAAUUAACAAUCCAUAUCAUAAUGUAUAUAACAUGAGAGUCAAAUCAAUUAAGAGUGUGAUGCAUACGCGCUGGCCAGGAGCAGUUCGACGGGAGUGGGCCUUGAUCUCUUGUUAUCAAUUGACAGCUGGAUUAUAGCGCUGACACAGCAAGUGUCGUGGUAUUUAUUCUAUUAUUGCAUGGAAAAAAGACCGUUACGAUAAGGACGGAGGAUUACGUCGCAUGAGGAAAGCGUGAUUUCAUUUACCUAACGGUCACUCCAUCAAAUGUAAAAAAGAAGUAGUACGAUGGUAGAUUGGUAAAUGUACAAAAAACAAGUGGUGGAACUUGGGUUGUUCACCAACCGACCCGAGUCAAGCGAGUUCGAGCUAGAAAAUUAUAAAUUGUUACGAACUCGAGUCUAUUCGAGUCUGACUUGUUAACUACAAUUGACGAGUCAAACUCGAGCUCAAUUCGAACUUCAUGUCAUUAAGCUGCCAAUGAAUCUAUCUUGAACUGAUUUUGAAGCAUGUACACUAAAAAAUAUCGAUGAGUCAAGCUAAAAAAUGAAAUAUCUUAAAAUCUUACAAGUUUAUACUUUUAUCCAUUAAAUUGAGCCUAAGUAAUGUAUCACUUGAAUUUUCAUUAUUACGCUCACAAAUUACAUAAAAUUUAAUGCAUGUAUAUGGUUUUCGAGACAAAACAUAUAUUGCAUUAUUGAUCUCUACUAGCGAGAUAUAUACUUGAAUUAGUCAUGGGCACCACUUGGUAAAAAAAUUAGAUUAAAAUCUAGCUUGUAUUUUGGUGUGGAAGACCAAAUUCAAACUUUGGACACCACUUGAAUUAAUUUGAAGCAUACAUAUUACUCUCUUAUAAUAAACUUUUGAGAUAUGAUAUAUCAAUUUAAAUAUAUAAAACCUAGACAAUAUAAACUCAACACCUAAUCUAACAUUAUUAAAUUCAAACUUUAACAUCGAAAAUAUGAAAACUCGUCAUGGAUAUUAUAAAAGGUGAAAUGUUUGAUUUUAUUUUCUAUCCGUCGUAUAUAGAUACCACUGGAGUUAGUAUUCGAGUUGACUCUUAAAUUCAAACUCGAAUCAACUCGUAAGUCUAUCGAUUCUAACAUAUCCUGACUCAACUUUGGACAACCGAAAGUCGAGCUGCUCACGAGCAGCUUGGUUUGCCAACAACCCUAGGUGAAAGUACCGUUCAUAUGGUUAUCCAUUAAUAUUGAUUAACCAACGAUUAGGGUUAACCACUGGUUUGAGCACAGGCAGAUAAAUUGAGCUAUGUUUUGUUCGCUUUGACGGCGUAGAGAAGACAUGGGAGGAAACAAAUGUAAAGCGCCGGCGAUGGUGAAGGGAGAAAGUGGUGAUCGGCGGCGAUAAAAAUGUAAACCAUUUUGAAAACCAUUAAUAAAGGCCGAAGCAUCAAAAUUUAAAAGAAAGGCCCACGUCUUUUAAAGGCCUUAUCAGGAUAGUGUGAGAAAAAACCGGGUUGGCCCAUGUCCAACUCGAGAAAAUAGUUUAGUGGCCCGUAUAAGUAGAUCCGAGCUUGACCCGACUCAAAUAAACACCGCGGUUCGCAACAUUUUACAGGUGCACUACACAAUUUGCGAGUGAGCCUCACUCGUCUAGCAUCGUUACACACACGGUCAUUCGUCUAGCUUGUGAAGUCCACUCUUAUAGUGUUACGGUGGUGGGUUAAGCAAAAUUUAAAAAUCUUAUAGUAAAAUAGGACAUUCAAACUUCAAAAUAUAGCCGUUUCGAGAAUUUGCAUAUCCGAAUCUAAAAAGAAUAUCCGUAUUCCGAAUUCAAAGUUUCAUAUCUGAAUUCAUUAAUUUUUCCAGUAACAAAAACGCCUUACCAAAAAAAGUAUUGACAAAUUCGGAAACAGAAAUAGGAAAUCCCGAAUCCCGUCCACAAACUUCCAACCCAACCCAACCCUAGUUAAUGAAGCCCAUGGGAGCUUUUGAGGGUUGAGUGUUGACAAUCCUUAGUAGUUACCGUGGACUCGACCACAGCAGAUACCCCCUCUUCUAGCUCGUUGUUUUCCUAUUUAUUUUCCCUUUCCCUCUUCAGAAGAACACAAUCACACUACCUCGCCAUUUUCCCUUCCUCAGUACGUACACUCUCACUCGUACUACUUUCGUGCAUCGCUCCACCGGCGGACGAUCUCCGCCUGAGCUCCGUCGCCGUUGCAUUUCUAAGGUAACGGUACCGCAGAUGUUUUCGCUGACGAUCGGAUUUUCGUCGCCUUUCUUCACUCUCGUACUCACUCUCUUUCCGUUUUCAGUUUUUCAUUUCCGUACUAAUAAAUACUCGUCUCUGUCCAUUAUCCGUACAGUUUUCCGCUGCCGUUUGUGGUUGCAGCUGUCGGAGAUCGCAGCUUCAUCGUCUUCUCUCAGGUAUUGCGCUUCACAUUUCAUCGUAUUCGAGGGUUUUCAUCCGAUUGUUCUCUUUUUUUUUCACCUGUUGUGUUUGUUUUCAUGUUAAUCGUUUGUGUCGGGUUAGGGUUUCUGUGUAAUGUGUAUGUGUUAUGCUGUUAUCGUUGUUGUUCUGAGAGAGCUGGGUUUCUGUGGAAUGUGUAUGUGUUAUGCUGUUAUCGUUGUUGUUCUGCUGUAAGAGCCAUGGAUGUGCUUGAUGGAUGUGUUCUUCGUUUCUUUGACGUUUAUUGAUGCCAUGGAUUGUGUGUUGUUUGAAUUUCUCUUGUUCAUAUUUCGCUUGUCAUUUGCAUGUGUCUUCUGGGUUCUAGUGCUAAUUUCAUUUCAUGAUCUUGUCGGGAAGGGGGUUUUUGGGGCUGGGCGUUAAGCUUUUCUGUGUGAAGGUGUUUGGAUAUACAUCCACAAAGCUUUUCAAAUCUAAAGAUCGAGGACAAGUUUUGCAACGUUAUGUCUCUAGUUUUACCUUUAGAGAUUUUCAGAGUUCAAGCUGGUUGGAGCUAUACUACCGGGUGCUUCUGUGUUACACUUUGCUUUUUUUGUUCUUUGAAUGUUCUUUUGAAGAAAUGCAGUUUAAAAUGGCUUAUAGCUCUCAUAGUAAAACGGUUUAAACCUCUUGGGGGCGUUCUUUACUCAAUACUUCUGAUUUCUUAGGCAGAGUCAUUUUUUUGCAUCAUUUUCAAUUACGUCUUUCCAUCCACCAUGAUUUUUUUUGCAGUAGUUCAUUUACUGUAUUUGAUCGUUGAUUGACUGAUUGGUUGGAACUAUAGGGAUUUGGCUAGUGAGUAUCUGUUUGUUCCCUUGACUAGCCACUGAAAUGUGGUGGUGAAUGGCUUGCUGUUGGUAUCAAUCUAACGAUUUCGUUGAUUUAAUGGUGUUGCAGAUUAGGGUCUUGCAAAGAUGAGUUCAAGGGGAAAAACACCAUCAAACAAGGGGAAGGCCACAGAAGGCAGUAGCCACUUUGAUUUGAAUAAAGGAGUGGCAGAUAUCAAGCUGAAUUCUGCACAGACCGAUGGGGACUGGGAGGUCUAUGCCAAGAAGCCCAACAAGAACAAAGGAGGCAGCAAUGUCUCAAAGGGUUGGGGUUCACAAAACUCUAAUUCAAAAGCCUGGGGGCCGGCAGAUGCGGGGCAGCAAAAUAGAAGGACGACUGGCAAUGCUUGGGGAAAUCAAGCAGUUGAAUCUUCAAGGCAACCUGGCAGAGGAAAUCGGAACUUGGGUAACUAUAUGGCGCCUCCACAAGGGGGAAUCCCCCCUCCUCUGGCGAACGGGUGGAACUGGCAAUCCAGGGCUGGGGCAGCGAAAGUGCCUGAAGGUGGCUGCUCCUGAAAAGGAAGAUGAUGAUAACAACGAGCAAGAUGGUGCUUAUGAAGAUGAAGACGAUUUUGAUGAUGAUGCUCUCGAGGAGGAUACUGAUGAUGAACUCAUGAGCGAAGAGUUUGAUUCUGAUGACAGUCAGAAGAGCCAUGACACCCGUAAGAAGAACAGGUGGUUUAAGAAGUUUUUUGAUUUGCUGGACAGCCUUACUCUUGACCAAAUCAAUGAACAGGAUAGACAGUGGCACUGUGCCGCAUGCCAAAAUGGUCCGGGUGCUAUUGACUGGUUCAAAGGGCUGCAGCCGUUGAUCACACAUGCCAGGACAAAAGGAGCGGAACGAGUAAAGCUACACAGGGAGCUCGCUGAACUUCUGGAGGAGGAAAUGUCCAGGAGGGGAACUUCUGCUUUCCCGUCUGGGGAAGUUUAUGCCCAAUGGAGUGGGUUGACGGAGGAGGAGAAUGAUUACGAUGUAGUUUGGCCUCCUAUGGUCAUAGUGAUGAAUACACGGCUCGACAAGGAUGACAACGAUAAGGUAUGCCUUCGUUGAAUUGCCCCUUUCAUUUGUUCUUCUUAUUGCAACUCUGUACUGUCUUAUCUAAUGCAUCUAUGUUUGAAUCAUAUGUAUGACAGUGGACUGGCAUGGGCAACCAAGAGCUGCUUGAAUAUUUCCGAGCCUAUGAUGCUGUUAAGGCUAAACAUUCGUAUGGUCCACAAGGCCACCGUGGCAUGAUUCUUCUGAUAUUCGAGGCCUCGUCAAGGGGGUUUUUCGAAGCCACACGAUUGAGUACUCACUUCACCAACCAGGGAACCGAUAGGAAUGCUUGGAAUCAGAAGCGGAACUGGUAUUAUCCUGGCGGGAAGAGGCAGCUCUAUGGUUUCAUAGCCACCAAAGAAGAUGUCGAUCUUUUCAAUCAGCAUUCUCACGGUCUGUGGAUUUCUUAUUUACUCUUUUCUGAUGGUUUUCUUGAUGGACACUAAUUAUCUUGUGUGAAUAGGCAAGGCGAAGCUGAGAUUCGAGAUGCGAUCAUACAAUGAGGUGGUUGUUCGAGACUACAACAGAGUGUGCAAUGAUAAUGUGCAGCUGAGCUAUUUCAAGACUAAGGUCAAAAAAGAACAGAGGAAUUCCAGGGCUCUUGCCGAAUCGCUGGGCACUGUUAGCGAGAAGCUGAGGAAGACGAUGGAGGAGAACCGUAUUGUUAGACAGAGGACCCAAAUGUAUCAUGAGGAGAACAAAGAAGAGGUAAUUCAACCAAUUUCACAUUUCGAAUCCGAUUCUGAAUUCGUGUUCUGACAAAUUCGAAUUCGUGUUUGUGAAGCUUGAUUUCCAAGAGAAGUUCUUCAAAGACCAACUGGAGCAUAUCCUUGAAAAAAGGAAGGCUCAGGAAGAGGAAUUCGAGAAUCGACAGCAGGAGGAGCGGAAGAAGGUUACGGGCCAGAGCUCUUAUGGGUCUAACAGUGGGGAUUACAGAACCAGGUGCGGCUGUAUGAUUUUUAUAGCCUGAAUUCUUUCCCUUUUAGUUUACUUUACUAGUUCAUAUUUGCUCAGUGUUCAUAUGUAACUCACCGAAACCGACGAACCCACAACCUCCAGUUAUCUAUGAUCCGAUUGACUAGAAACCUGAUGAAUUAUGACCCUGAGAAGCUCAGAACCUGAUUGUUCCUUGACCUAUAACCUGACCCAGUCCAGACCAAGCCCGAACCAUGACUCAAAUUGAUUAAUGUCCCUAUAAGAAAAUCUCGAAACCCCCCACCAAAGUGAAAUGCGAUGCUAUGAACACCCAACAAAACCUGCAGCCUGAUAGACUCACGACUCCUAAUCCGAUUAACCCAGCUGAUGACCCGGCUAACUUGUACAUUCAACACGAACUCUAGUUCUUAUAUUGGCUUCUAUGUUUCGGCAGGGUGGACGAGGUGUCAAGGUUCAUACAGCUGCAGGACAAGGAAAUGGAGCAGUUUGUGGAGGAGAGGGAGCAGAUGGUGAAGCUGCACGAGGAGAAGUACGUUGUGAUGAGGCGCAAACACUGGCAGGACGAGGUGGAUCUCGAGCAGGAGUUCGAUACGCAGCUGACCAAUCUGAUGAAGAAGUACACCCCGCAGAGCUCGGAUAGUGGUGGGAAUGCUGCUGCGAAAGCUUGAUGAUAUCCGAGAGUAACAGAGCGGCUAGUAGUAAGUAGUAGGAAAAGAGGCCGAGGGUUUAGGAACAAAUGCUAAUCUGGUUAAGGACAUGAGGGGAUGAUUAAGAAGGAGCUUUCUGACUCUUAUUUUGGUUAUAAGUAACUGAUGGGUAGUUCCUUUGGUUGAAAGGAAACUUUCUAGUUCCGGUAUGGUUUCGAAAAACAUGGUUAAAUAUAUAUAUAUGAUUUUGCUACCGCAAUCACUCUUCUACGUAUUGGUUGUUUGAUGGCCGGGUUAGAACUCGAAUGACAUACCUUAUGUGUAAAUCAAUCUGAUGCAGUGUGCCGUUGGACUGGAUGGUAUUCACGAUUGAAUCGUCAGACCGGUUGGUUUUCGUGAUUGAAUUCACUUAUGUCGGGUAUGGGCCGACCCGGUAUUUUUCCCGCACAAUCCGGAAAAAGCCUUUGAAAAGGCUUGGGCCUUAGAAGGAUUUCAAAAUAGUUUGUACAUUUGGUUCCUCCUCCAUGUCUUCUCUACGCCGUCAAAGCGAAGGAAGCAUAGCUCUUCUUCCGAUCGUUAAAGCUAAUACCCUUCUUCUUCCUUCUCCUUCGAUCACGACACUUCCGGAGAUUCCAUUUUUCAUCAUAUUCUUCAUCCGUUGCUCUCACCUGCAAUCUGACGGCCAAAUUUGAAAUUACUCAGUCCGAAUCCAGCCUCGAAACGUUUCUUUGAUAAAGCAAAAAACACAAAAACGUUCUGCGCGGGAGGAAGAAGCCGCCAACAACGACAGUGAUUUCUCCCCACCAAAAUAUAUUCAACUAAUCUGCCAUGGUUUCAAUGGAUCCUGCCUCGGUAAUCGACGAAUAUGGAAGUUUACUAUCGACAUGCAUCACAUCCAGGAACCUCAAAUUGGGCAAGGCAAUUCAUUCCAACUUCAUCAAAACCGCGAUCAACUUCAACUCCUUCGUCGUUAAUCGUCUAAUCGACAUGUACUCCAAAUGCAGUUCUAUCGGAUCCGCCCAUAAGGCCUUCGACGAUCUCCCCUUCAAGAACGCUCGUUCCUGGAACACCAUCGUCUCCGCCUGCUCCAAAUUGGGUAUGGUGAAAAUGGCGCGGAAACUGUUCGAUGAAAUGCCUGACCGAAAUCUCGUCAGCUACAACUCAAUGAUUUCGGGGCUUUCUCGUGGUGGGUAUUACAAGGAGGCGUUGGGUAUGUUCAUGAGAUUGCAGGAAGAUUGCGUUGGGGGGUUUUGUUUGGAUGACUUUACUGUUGUGAGUGUGGUGAGUUGUUGUGCGAGCUUUCGUGGGUUGGAAUUGGUUCGUCAGCUGCAUGGUGUGGGAUUAGUUGUUGGGUUGGAAGGGAAUGUGGUGUUGCUGAACUCUGUGGUUGAUGCUUAUGGGAAAUGUGGGGAACCUGAUGUUAGUUUCCGUGUAUUUAGCAGGAUGAAUGACAGGGAUGUUGUGUCGUGGACGUCAAUGUUGUGUCGUGGACGUUAAUGGCCUGGUAGUAAAAUCUUCAAUCAGAAUUUUGAGCUCUUCUUAGUGCAUGUGCUGAUCUAGCACUUUUGGACAAAGGUAAGCAGAUUCACGGCCACAUUGUCAAGAGUGAGGAUUUUCGUAGUAGUGUCUAUGCAAACAAUGCGUUACUCGACAUGUACUGCAAAUGUGGUGAUAUGGGAUCAUCCAGGAGAUUGUUCGAAGGAAUGGUAAUGAAGGAUGUUGUGUCCUGGAACUCAAUGAUUACUGGAUUUGCACAUAACGGGCUUGCAGAUGAAUCACUUGUGUAAACCAUAGCAAGCUAUCUUCAAAUCCCAUAAUCCUCUGCUUCCCUAAGCUUCCCUCCCUUAAAAAAAUGGCUCUGUUCGAUUUCAAGUCUAACAACCACUUUGUUGCAUCCUCAGACGGAGCCAACCUCCAAAUCUACGAGUUAAUCAACCUCACCGUUAACAUUCCUUCCAUAAAAAAGAUUCACUGGGUCUUGGUUGAUUUAUUAGGUAGGAAAAACAGACUGAGCGAAGCGAUGGAGUUAGUCGAAAAAACUCCUGGUCUAUCGGAGCAUGCGGGGAUAUGGGGCGCUCUAUUAGGUGCUUGUCGGAUCCAUCACAAUGUGGGUCUUGCCAUGAAGGCUGCGGAAACUCUAUUCAAAUUAGAACCCGGGAAUCCUGGAAGAUGUGUCAUGUUAGCGAAUGUUUAUACAUCAGCUAAUAAAUGGAGUGAUGCUUCAAGAAUGAGAAGGGAAGUGGAUGAAAAAGGUCUAGUUAAAGAUGUAGCUUACAGUAGGAUUGAGGUGAGGAAUGAGAGGCAUGAGUUUGUGGCCAAGGACAAGGCUCACAGACAGAUACAAGAAGUAUAUGAAGCAAUCCCUCGACUACUUGAUCAUAUGAGGGAAGCUGGACACUGGCCUUCCACAAAUGACUUUGGAUCGUCGGAGAAGAUGAUGUCCUAGUGCCAUAUGGUUAAGCUUGCCCUGUCCGAAACAAAGUUGGUGAAGAACAAUCCAGUUCUCUAGCCUUUACCACCGACAAAUGAAUGGCCUGGUAGUAAAAUCUUCAAUCAGAAUUUUGACGUGAUAUGCAGAUAGCUGGCAGGAUUACCGUUCCAACGGCUUACUUUUCUCCAGCUGGCGAAACAGACUCGGGCCAAAUAUCCGCCGCGUGACUAAAAAAAAUAAUCCCCCGUGUAACUGCCGCACGACGACGCGUCUAUGCCCAACAGCUACUUUUCUCCUACAAAGAUGUCGUUGUCUCACCUUCCAACGGCUACAAUUUUUUCUAUAUAAACGGCAUCACACAUCGAGCAAUUCAGAACUUCUUCGUCUUUGUCGCCGACGCUUUCUUCCACUUCUUCUCACUUUGUCGCUCAAGUAGGUCUUCGAGUUGGGGUAAUUUUCCGUCCUCUCUACCUCUCUUUUUAAUUUUCGGUUUACUUUCCGUUCGUUUAGGGUUUUCGUUUUCCGAUCAUCGGUAAAACUCUUUUCUAGGCGCCGAGAGGGAACAUUAGGUCGUCCUCGAACCAUGAUCUGUGAGUACGUAGCUAGCUUCCCCUUAACAAGAAUUUCAUUGAUAAUUUCCCUGGUAAUUUGCCUGUGCCACUUGACAUUCUUCCUAUUCUUACUAUGUUUGUUUUCUAACUGCUGACCUGCUUGCUUGCUUAAUCUUGGUUAUCUUUGUGCUGACCUGCUUGCUUGCUUAAUCUUGGUUAUCUUUGUUCUUAUUAUCUGCAUCGUGUUGUUAUCAUGCCAUAAAUCGGUUCAAGCUGCUUUGAAUUAUCAUGGCGACACUGGUUGACAUCAAUGUUGUAUUGCUUGCUAGCAUGAUCAUCUCCCUUUAUCUUUCCUUAAAUGCACUUUGAGAUUCUCAUAUGGAUUUGCAUCUUGUCAGUGUGAAUUAGUAUCAUUUUAUUUUUCCGUUUAAACUCCUUUGAGGCGCUAUGAAGUUCUAUUAGAUGGGGGAUUCUAACGCAUGUGCCACCAAAAAAGUUUUGAAGGUUUAGGUGGUUAUGGCUCACACACGUGGCGAUCCGGGUUCCACCUGUUUGCAGGUUUUUUUUCCGGGUUUGCCUCGUGUGGGUUGGGUCAUAACCACGUCUUCAUUGAGAAAAAAAAGAGGGGGUGGUGCGUAAAAGAAGUGUUAAGGGCGUUCAUCACCUAAGUGAAGUGAUGAGUUGGUGCGCUCUAACACAAGCACAAAGAAUGCGAGAAUGAAUGAACACCCCUCCAUGCAAGUCUGGAAAAAAUACUCAGACCAGAAUUCCCCCAUGUUUUACUUUACUACUUCCGCUUGUGUCACGAAGGUACGAUAAUGGAAACGAAAUGAUAUUCUCCAUUGACAAGGUUUAUUUUCAUUAGCACGAUAUGUGUGAAUUUCACUUGUACUUCUUUGCGGGACAUUGGUUUUUAAUUGUGUGGUCGAGCUUGACGCUUCAUGAGUCGUUGCUUGAUGAGCUGAAUGAAAUGUCGCUCUUUAGUCAUAAUAAGCUGCACUGGUUUGAGUUAGUUUAUUGCUUGAGCUCUAGCAAAGUGUAAGUGUGGGUAUAGCGUUCAUCUCCUUGCACUAAGUGAUUUUCUCCUCUUUAUUAUCCUGUUUGUGUCUCGUUUUCCGUCAUUGGACCCUUGCGGUCCCAUUUGAUAUAUCUUUGAGCGUUUUUGGUGAGGUUUUAGGUCAUGGUCAAUCAUCGCCUCAUGGUCUCAUUGCUAAGGUUGGUUUUGGACUAGUUUUAAUUUGAUUUUCACUUGCUCUCAUCAUUUCUUUUGGUCUGGAAUAACUGACUUUCUCCUUUAUACCUUUUGACGUGAAGGUGGGUUGGAGCUUGGUUGUGAAGGCUUCUCCGUGUUACAUGACUGUAUGGUUUGUCCUUUUCAUUUCCCUACUUCUUCCUGUAUGUUGUUGUCAUUCUAGGAUGUUCGCUCAACCAUUGCAGAUGGUAGCGGUGCCCGCAUUGAUAUCACACAUUCUCCAACUGCACAAGGGAAACAACAACUUGUCAAAGUUAUGAAACCUCAAAAUUCAACUCAUCUCUGGUAAUUCACCUCUGCCACUUGUCAUUUUUCGUGUUACAUGACUGUAUGGUUUGUCCUCUUCAUUUCUCUACUUCUUCAUGUAUGUUGUCGUCAUUCUAGGAUGUUCGCUCAUCCAUUGCAGAUGGUAGCGGUGCCCGCAUUGAUAUCACACAUUCUCCAACUGCACAAGGGAAACAACAUCUUGUCAAAGUUAUGAAACCUCAAAAUUCAACUCAUCCCUGGUAAUUCACCUCUGCCACUUUUCAUUUUUCGUAUUCAUGUUAUUAUUUUUCUGUAGUCUAUACGUUUCUGUAAGUCCUCGCUACUGUGUGCUAUGUUGGUCUUCUAACUGCUGACCUGUUUUGGUAAAGCUUUUGAUAUCAUUUUUUGCAACAUCAUCCUUCUGCUUUUCUUUCAUUUCUUUUCAUUUCUUUUCUAUGAUAAAAAUAACUCAUUCUUCCUUCUUUUCAUGGCUUUCUACUUGCGAGUUGACGAAAAUAUGGAGCUGUUUCAACUUGGUCUAGGGUCUAGGCAGUAGGGACUAGGUAGUGUGGUCUAGGUACUGAGGUUUAGGGUACGUUACGUAUAGUUAUUGGGGUCUAGGUAAGGUCUGGGGUUGGGGGUCUAGCGUCUAGGAUGAUCAUUUCUGUUGUUGAGAUCUGCAGACUUUCCUGUUGAAUUCGUAUGCUAGAGGGUGUGUCCUUGUUGACAGACUUUUGGAUCGAUAUUGAAAUGAGAUGGAUGCCAUUUAUUUUUUCCCUGGUUUUGGUGAAGUUCUUUGUUGAAAGAGAGGUGGAUAUGAAGAUGAGUUGUGAUGCCUUCUAAUGGCGGUUUAUAUAGGAUGGUGAGAGGCCAAAGACUGAUGGUAUGACUUGGGAUUCUGUGAUCCAGCACAGUCCCAACAAAUGUGGCUAACUAAGCAAUGUCCCUUUCUUGUCCACCAAUCCCUCAAACUCAUAAGUGGGAGGCAAAAGAUCCAAACUUUAUGACUUGGGAUUCUGUGAGCCAGCACAGUCCCAACAAAUGUGGCUAACUAAGCAAUGUCCCUUUCUUGUCCACCAAUCCCUCAAACUCAUAAGUGGGAGGCAAAAGAUCCAAACUUUAUGACUUGGGAUUCUGUGAGCCAGCACAGUCCCAACAAAUGUGGCUAACUAAGCAAUGUCCCUUUCUUGUCCACCAAUCCCUCAAACUCAUAAGUGGGAGGUAAAAGAUCCAAACUUUAUGACUUGGGAUUCUGUGAGCCAGCACAGUCCCAACAAAUGUGGCUAACUAAGCAAUGUCCCUUUCUUGUCCACCAAUCCCUCAAAACUCAUAAGUGGGAGGCAAAAGAUCCAAACUUUAUGUUUCACCAAUGUUAACAGAAGCUUAUGUAGCAGCAGCAGAAGAGUCAAUAAUAAAGUUUCCUCAUUGUUGCUUGUAUACUGCAGCGGGCAAGAGGAAUCUAGAUUGGAAAUUUAAACAGGUUAAAUUAUUAAUUCCAUCCGGGCAUGCUGCAACUUACUGGGAGAACAUGUUCUUGAUUGAUUGAUGCGAGUACAUUCUGGAUUCUUUGUUAGUAACCUUAUUUACUUCAGAGGGCUAUAAUUUCCCAAUUCAUUUUUUCUGGGAUUGGUUCUGCGCAUGGGCUCUAAUUUCACUAUGAAGAGCAUGCAUGAAGUUAAGGAAGGUUACAUCAAAGUGUAUUGCUGAUGCCAACAUCAAUCCAGAUUUAGAUUGGAUUUCAGCAUUUGCUUCUGACAGGCUGCAUUAUCCUGUUGAUUGACAGGCUGAUAUCAGCAAUGUCGAGGAGGGUUAGUUAGUAUGUGUUUGUUUCCUUGACUAGCCCCUGAAAGUGGUGGUGAAUGCCUGGCUGUUGGUAUCAAUCUUAACGAUUUCUUUGGUUUAAAAGGAAACUUUCGAGUUCUGGUGUGGUUUUGAAUUUUGCUACCACAAUCAUAUGAGGCUGGGUUAGAACUCGAAUGAUGUACCGUAUGUGUAAAUCAAUCUGAUGUAGUAUUUGCGAAUUGCGAUUGAAUUAUUAGACCGGUUGGUAUUCACUAUUGAAUCACUUAUGUUAGGUAUGGGCCGACCCGGUAUAUUUCCCCACACUCUCCAGAUAAAGCCUUAAAAAGGCUUGCAAAAUAGUUUUUACAUUUUCAUCGGCCGCCGAUCACCGGGUUCUCUCUUCACAAUCGCCGCGCCUUUUACAUUUUCAUCGGCCGCCGAUCACCGGUUUCUCUCUUCACAAUCGCCGGCGCUGUAUAUUUGAUUCCUCCCGAUGUCUUCUCUACGCCGUCAAUGCGAACAAAAUAUAGCUCUUCUUCUGAUCGCCAAAGCUAAUGUCCUUCUUCGAUCACGGCACUUCCGGCAUUUCCCUUUUCAUCACAUUCUUCCGUAUUCGCGCAAUUGCUUCUUCCGUUGCUUUCACCUGCAAUCUGACGGCCUAAUUUGAAAUUACUCAGACCGAACCGUUUCUUUCAUAUGGCAG